CGUCGGCACCUGACGGGCGGGCCCCGCUAGUCAGAUACACCGUCAAUACGUGUUUAUACGCAGUUUAGACCUAUUUGCAAAAAUCUAGAGCAAUGUUGGUACUGACACGCAAAAAUUAGCAAUCGUGAUACCAAUCUGCAUGUGAUGCCCCAAUUGUGGUACUUCUGUGCAAUUAACUCCAUGAAAGUCACCUGAAACAUGAGAACUGGUUCAUUUUAGCUAUCUUUUCAGUUCUGUGUGAAGAAUAUCAUAUCAUCCGUGUGAUGGUAUUCUAUACCUAGUAAUGAAGCAAGGUGCGUUUCUUCAAUUUUUUCAUCCGUUCAUCUUCAAAAGUACUUUUUGUUUCUAUCCGAGGUGGUACUAAACUUUUAUGCAUCUAUCCGCUAGGAAAGAAAAAAGGUUUGUCCAGAAUUCCGUAAUUGGGCCGCGCACGCUCCGGCCCAAUGAAGCCAACGCACUUAUUAUUGCCCACGUAGUUGGGAAGACCUUAUUUGUUGUAUUGAGCGAUGAAUAGUUGAAGCUGCCCACAGGACGCCUAAAACUGGGUCGGCCCGUUAACUAUUAUAAAAAAUCAUGUUUUGAAAUUUUCUCAUUUUUUAAUUUUUUUUGUGUUUUUCAAAAUUUCUUAGAUAUUUUUUAAUAAAAACUACAUUUUAUAAAGUGUUCCAUAUAUAAAACUAUUCCUGUUUUACUGACAUGUUCACAAAAAAUAUAAAAUAAUAUUUUUGUCUAAGAAAACAUUUUCUAGAAUUGUUUUGAAUGUUCCCCUUUUAAAAAGAUAAAACAAUUCAAAAAUAUUUGUGUGUUUAUAAAAUUAUCAUGUUUUCAAAAUAUUGUUUAUGAAUUUCAGAAACUAUUAAUGUUUCUAAUUUUUGUGUUUUUCCAAAAAUAUUGGAUCUUUCAAAAAAAAUUGUCGCAUCUUUUGAAAAUUGUUUGGGAUUUAUUAAAUUGUUCACGUUUCCAAGAAUAUUCGCCAAUUCAUAUUUACGUUGAAUGUUCAAAAAAAACUAAGAAAUAUUUCUAAUAUUACGCUAUAGUAUUUUCUUUAAUAUUUGCGCUCGCCAUUGGUUGGCGGUGCAUGGUCGUUCUGUGCUGGUUGACUAUAAAUGAAAGAAAUUAUGGGCACAUGCCAAUAAAAGAGAAUAUGUUGUUUGGCUUUAAUUAGAGUAAAAUAAUGGGCACUUGAGCACUAAAAUAAUCAAAGAGAAUAAACCCUCAAACAGAAGGCCCCUGGGAUGCCCUUUGGCAGGUCUCAGCUCUAGGCCCCCAAGACCACGGCUCACACAAUGUUGGUACCACCACACAUGUUGAACCAAUAGAUGUUGGUAUUUUGAUCUUGCUCUGUUGACCAGGAGUACGAUGUAAUGUAUGUAGGUGUCUUCAGGAUCAGUGGCAAAAUAUGCCGAGAAGAACGUGUGCACGGUGAGUUAAAAGAUUCAGAUAUGGUCUUUUUUUUAAUCUCUGUAGUUCUCCUUGUGCUGUUUCUCAUAGAUUUUUCAGUUUUACCUUUGUUCCCAUAUGGCUGCAAGCACCCUUAAUCGCAAAAGCUAGCUACAUCGAUGCGCCGCCGCCGAGGACAACGCCCGGCCCGCAACCGAGGUCUUCCACAUAUAGGAUUUGUGGAACAGCAGGGGCAGCACUACGACAGCUACUGUCUUGCUGCAGUGAUGCGGGCUGGAGCGAGCUGGGUUGCACGCGGUGACGAGAGCAUUGUAUAUGUCCGUUCCUCCACCUUCAACAUGUCGAUUGCAGGUGAGGACUUCUUCUUUUUUCCUUCUCCCUUUUUUCAUGCAAGUGUAGAACUUAUUGUACGAUUUAGUUUUUGCCUACAUAUAGAUGAUUCAGAUGUUAACGUUGAAGAAAAGAUCGACAUUGGUAUCCCCAGAAUAUUGCAGGAGGGCGUGUGUGCUCAUCUAAAAAAUAUGAUUACCUAAAUAGCUAAUAGUUAAUUCUACCUUUGUGAAUUUGCAGAAUGUUGAAUGCUAUUGGGUGGCAUUUCUCAUCAUGACAUUUAAUUAGAGGAUAUUUGUUAUCAAGCGACGUCAAUGUCUCGGGUAUAGAUAGUUCUGUUUUGAGGAAGAUGAUGUGCAACCACUGAAGAAAAUAUAUUAGGAUGGAACUCCAAUGAUUUUGUGGAUCACUAUGUAUAGUUUUUUGUGGCCUAUAAAGCAGAGGUCCGGCGUGUCAAAACAGAAGUUUCCAUGACUUGCUACUUUAUAAAAUUUAGGCGCCCCUAUAGUGUUGUUGAUGAAUUGAAUUUUUUCACCCAAAAAGGUUGAAAUCAACUGCUUUGCAUACACAAUUAAAUAGUGAGUAUCACGUUUUAUUAGCAAAAUUUAAUAGUUCAUACACAAUUAGGAAGUAGAAUUGUAAAGAUAAGGUCAGAGGCAUACCAACACAAUGCUCUGUUUAGUGAAGCUACAAAACCCACCAUCAUAACUGAUAAUUCCGUGCUGUACUGCUUGGUGAAUAUUUAUUCUGUUUCAGUGCUGACUAAUUGGCCCUUUGCUGAUCGAUAUGGUUCCCUUUGAAUGGCAUGAAGGAGGAAUAAGGGUUGCUUCUCACUCCCUUUUGGUCUGUUCUAGCGUGGAUGGAGGGUGACCCAGGCCUGUCCGACCAAAGGUGGCCGGUGAGCCUCUUGGUCUGUGCAGGUAAAAUUUCUCACUCCCUUUUAUCUUUUCGCGACUUCUUCUUUUGGGGCCUGCUGAAUUAGUUUGCUUGGUGCAAUUGAGAAAAUAAGAUGACCUGAUGAGGUGAGAAAAAAACAUGCAAUGGGGGCAUGCCGAAUUGGUGGAGUUGAAGCAUGUGUCCUGCUUACACCAUCUUAGGAACAUGGCAGAGGAAGGUGUUGAUUAAUUGGUAGGCAAAUUAAGCGUUUCAUGGGAAUCCUCGGUUAAUCUAACAUGAAGGAUGGAGCGUUUCUAUGGUUGUGAAGUUUUCUCGUAGCAAGUUGAAUGAAGAGCAUUUACGUCUAACAUAAAGCUUCAUAUAAUGGAUCAUGUUUGCCCUGUCCAGUUACUUAACUUCUAAUAACAUUGGGCCUGUAAGGAAGUGCUUAUCUUAUAAGUAAAUAUACUCGUGCUUGAUUUGCAUUGUUGAUUGACAAUAUGGUCUGUACUGAACCAUUAAAAAUACCUGGCUUCCUGACCUCAGACCCAAAAUAUGCUCUCUGUUGCUAUUGUUUUUCCCAAUUAAUUGUACAAUUACUCCUUUUAUUUAGUGAUGUAUUCCUCAUAUGCUUAACUAUCUCUUUUUUUGACAUUGAAGAUCAUUUAGAGUAAUUCAUUUUCGUACAUCCUGAAAUUCAGCGAAUGGACAUCAAAUAUAUUACAUUAGAUGAUGGGGGGAAACUGUAGUUGCAGUGCUUCACUUCUGCAACAAUGGACUCCCCGAAGUGCCAACACCUUUACAUGGAUAUUCAGGAUAUUUUUGAAGGUUAGAAUAUGAAAGUAGAACAACAAGUUCCAUUACUUUGGGAAAAGUGCCCGGCCCUGAAUGAUGCCUUAAUGCGACCUUUAAGUUUCAGGUACAUCAUUCUAUUCUUCUCUAUUGCGCCAUGUGCUCCACACGUGUACCUUAUGAUUCAGGAGUUUCCGGUGACAAAAUGUGUUAUAUUUGUAGAGUCGAUGCUUUAGGAGAUGGAAGAGCAGCUGCCCACGCAAUGGUUUCCAGUUAUAAACCAAGCUGUUUAAAAAUGAUCAAGUAAAGAAAGAAAUAUUUCAUGAUUGUACCUAUUUCCUUUGUGGGAUUUAAAGGGUUACUAGCUAGCUACAAUUGGACACUUCAUUUGUUUGCUUUUGAACUAAGUUUGAUAAGGCCUAUGAAGUCCUGUAAAAAGGAUUCUUAUGAUAAGCGUGGAAAGCAACUUCUGAACUUUUAUGUAGAUAUUUAAGUGCCAAUGCCAUAUUUUGUUAUAACACAGGAAACCCAACUUUUGAGGCCACCGAUUUACCUUGGAUGUUGCAUGUGAAUUACUUUAGCUAAUUGUCUUGCCGUCGAGCUUUUAGUUGAAGUUCACUGAAUUUCUUGUAAUGACAUUUCAGCUAUUAUACGAUCGACCCAAUUGUUAGCUUUAUGAUGCUUUUUGGAGUCGACUCUGUUAAACAUAUAAGGUUCAGGUUCAGCGCAUAGUGCAACAUUGUAACGUGGUAGAUCUCUUGGAGAUAUUCUGGUAGUUUGUUGGCCUAGGUAACUAGCUUAACCGUGGCUAACUCUAUCUCUCUCUUUCUUCUUCUCCAAGAUGUACUCUAUCUCCUGUAUGCGCUACAGGGAUCUGCGCCCCUGCCUAUAAACAUGAACCACGUUCCCUCGUACAGAGGUAAGACGUUUAUCGCAUCUUCACAUGGUAACCAGAGCCUCCUUCUUCCACAACAUCUAGCAUCCAUCAAACCCUAGCUCCAACCAUGUCGUCUUCCGCUGUCGCUCUUGUACCCACCAUCCAUGGUCAGGUAACAGAGAAGCUCACCAGGACGAACUAUGUCCUCUGGCGUGCUCAGAUCAUGCCCCAGCUCAUCGGCGCUGGCCUGUUUGGCUACGUCGACGGAUCCAUCAAGGAACCAGAGAAGUUCCUCGUCACCAAGGAUAAAGAUGGCAAGGAGGAAGCCGUCCCGAACCCUCUACACCAAGUCUGGGUAAGGGAAGAUUAGCAGGUACUUGGUCAUCUAUUGAUCAAUCUCUCUCGAGAAGUUCUUAUCCAGGUGACUUCGAUCCGCAAGGCGCAUGAGCUCUGGACUGCUGUGGCGAGCAUGUUCUCGUCCCAGUCCCGAUCUCGCAUCAACAACAUCAGGAUCGCCCUCUCCAAUGCGCAGAAGGGCACGCAAACGGUGGGCGCCUACUUCGCCCACAUCCGCUCCCUCGCCGACGAACUGGCGGCCGCUGGCAAGCCGCUAGAUGACGAUGAAGUCAUCUCCUACAUCCUGGCAGGGCUGGACAUGGAGUACCAGCCGCUGGUGUCGGCACUCGACGCCCGAAAAGAACCGAUCACGAUCGAUGAUCUGUUCGCUCAAGUAAGCAACCUCGACCAGCGCAUUGCUAUGUUCCAUGGUGCUGGCAACAACGCCGGGUUCAAGAGCUCCGCCAACGCCGCCAUUCGUGGUGGUCGUGGUGGCUCACGCGGCUACCGUGGCCCUCCGCGCAACAAGGGAAAGAACAGCGGCGGCGGCAGCAGCAACUCCAACAACAGCGCCUCUCGUGGGCGGCCCUCCUACACCAACAACAAGGGCCGUCACAACAACUCCAGGAGCCGCCCCGACGCUGUCAAGUGUCAAAUCUGCGGCAAGAUCGGUCACUCAGCAAGGGAAUGCUGGUACCGGUUUGAGGAGGAUGAAGGAGAAUCCUCGCAAGAUGAGAAGGUCGCUGGUGCUGCAGAAGCCUCAUAUGGGGUUGAUACAAACUGGUAUGUUGAUAGUGGCGCUACAAAUCACAUCACCGGUGAACUUGAAAAGGUGACUAUGCGGGAGAAGUACCGCGGCCAAGACCAGAUACAUACAGCAAGCGGAUCAGGUAUGAGGAUUAAACAUGUUGGUCAUUCAGUUUUUCAAACCCCUCACCGAAAGAUUCAUCUAAGAAAAAUCCUUCAUGUCCCUAGUGCAUCUAAAAAUCUACUCUUCGUUCAUCGUAUUGCCAUUGACAAUCAUGUCUUUCUCGAGUUUCACCCUUUUUUCUUUUUGAUCAAGGAUCAAGCAACGAGGAAGGUGCUCUACCGAGGUAGAUGUGUUCGCGGGCUUUACCCAUUGAUUCCGGAGUUUAGAAGAAUAAAUAAGCAAGCUUAUGGUGUCACCAAAAUCUCCUCGACAAGGUGGCAUGAUAGACUAGGGCAUGCAUCUUUUUCUUUAGUUGAACGAUUGCUUAGGAAGAAUAAGCUCCCAUAUGUUGGAGAGCAUAAUGUUGAAACAAUUUGUGAUUCUUGUCAAAAGGCUAAAAGCCAUCAAUUACCUUAUCCAAUUUCUACGAGUAUUUCUACCAAACCGUUGCAACUUAUUUUUUCUGAUGUUUGGGGUCCUGCUCCAAGUUUUGUUGGUAGGCAUACUUACUAUGUUAGCUUCAUUGAUGACUAUAGCAAGUAUUCUUGGAUCUAUUUACUCAAAAAAAGAUCCGAGGUCUUUCAAGUGUUUCACAACUUCCAAGCUCUCGUUGAACGAAAGUUUAAUAGCAAAAUCAUUGCCAUUCAAUCCGAUUGGGGAGGGGAAUAUGAAAAAUUAAACUCGUCCUUCCAAACUCUUGGCAUCUCUCACCAAGUUUCUUGUCCUCAUGCUCAUCAGCAGAAUGGAUCUGCCGAAAGAAAACAUAGGCACAUUGUUGAGGUUGGUCUAGCUCUCUUGGCUGGCGCAUCCAUGCCCCUCAAAUUUUGGGAUGAGGCUUUUCUUACCGUUGUUCAUAUCAUCAACAUGCUUCCUAGUCUUGUCAUCAAUCAUGAAACACCGAUAGAAAGGCUUCUUCGCAUCAAACCCGAUUAUACAUCACUUCGUGUUUUUGGGUGCGCAUGUUGGCCAAACCUUCGACCCUACAACAAUCGCAAACUUAUGUUUCGCUCGGAACAGUGUGUCUUCUUGGGCUAUAGCCCUCAACAUAAAGGAGUUAAGUGCCUUGAUGUCUCCACUGGACGAGUCUAUAUCUCUAGAGAUGUCGUGUUUGACGAGACAAAAUUUCCCUUUGCUGAUCUACAUCCAAACACCGGUGCUCUUCUUCGCCAAGAAAUUCUCAUUUUGCCAUCACAUCUAGUAGGUGCCUCUGGGGAAGAUAACUGUAAUGAUCACAUGCCAACUAAUCCUCAUAACAGUUUGCUUGAGCUAUGUGAUGAUGCAGGACAAAACAGUGAAGCCAAUGGUGCUCACGGUGAUGAAAAUGGUGAAGAAACGGCUCCAAACGAGCCAUAUUUCAUGUGCAGGCCCUCGGGAGACAUAUCUCCUUCGGGAUCCGGGCCGCACCAGUCCUGCAGGCAAUCUCCUUCGGGAUUGACGCCCUCUGCACCUGCGCCUGACAACGACACGUCCGGCAGCGCCCGGGUCGCCCGCCCUGACUCGGCGGUGCGCCACGCCUCCGACCAAUCCGCGGGCGCUGAUGGCCCGCGCCAAUCUCCGGGCCCCACGCGGCAGCUGACGAGCCGCUUCCCCGAUCCGCCCACGUGCUACGCGCGGCGCCCGCGUCGGCCGUCCGGCUCGGGGCCCCAUGUGGUGGACCACCCGACAGGCGCUGGAUCUCGCAUGGAUCCUGAUGACGCUCCUGGUGGGAGCGAAUCUCCUGCUGCGGGCGGAUCCUCUGUGGCGGAUGGCGCCCCUUCAUCACCCGCUGAAGCCGCAGAAAAUCCUGCCUCUUCGUCAGAUCCCAGAAUAUCUGCCUCGGGAUCACCGGGGGAUACUGAUGUGGAUUUUUCUGCUGCAGACCCCGGAUCUUCUGUGCAGCAAACUGCUGCUGCUUCACCAUCCAUGCCACGCACACGUCUACAAAAAGGGGUAUUGCAACCUGUCAAUUAUAAAAAGGUACUUAAGUUUGGCUUAGCUUGCUCUACAGGUGAACCACAAACGCUUGAUGAGGCAUUAGGUGACACAAAGUGGAAGCAAGCUAUGGAAGAAGAGUACAGAGCACUCCAGAAAAACAAGACAUGGCAUCUAGUUCCUUCACGGCAAGGUCAAAAUCUCAUUGAUUGCAAGUGGGUAUUCAGAAUAAAAAGGAAGUCUGAUGGAACUAUUGAUCGAUAUAAGGCUAGACUUGUUGCCAAAGGAUUUAAGCAACGGUAUGGCAUAGACUAUGAGGACACCUUUAGUCCCGUUGUUAAAGCUGCCACCAUUCGUCUUGUUUUGUCUAUUGCUGUUUCCAGGGGAUGGAGUCUUAGACAGCUAGAUGUUCAGAACGCGUUCCUUCAUGGUGUUCUGGAAGAGGAAGUGUAUAUGAAGCAACCUCCUGGGUUUGAGAACAAAAACACACCUUUCCAUGUCUACAAGUUGGAUAAAGCUUUGUAUGGCCUUAAACAAACUCCUAGGGCAUGGUACUCCCAUCUCAGUCAAAAAUUACAAGCACUUGGUUUUGUUCCUUCCAAGUCUGACACAUCACUGUUCAUUUACAAUAAGUGCAACACAUCUAUCUUUGUGCUCAUUUAUGUUGACGAUAUUAUUGUUACAAGCUCAUCAAAUGAAGCAGUGACAGGACUGUUGAAAGAUCUUAGUGCUGAAUUUGCACUGAAGAAUCUAGGAGACUUGCAUUUUUUCCUAGGUAUUGAGGUAAGGAAACAAGGAAGUGAACUUCACCUAUCUCAGGAAAAAUAUGCUACUGAUCUUGUAAGAAGAGCUGGGCUACAGGGAUGCAAGCCAUCACCAACACCAAUGUCAAGUUCUGAAAAAAAUUCUCUUACAGAGGGAGAACUCCUGAAUCAGGAAGAUAGUACCAAGUACAGAAGCUUAGUUGGUGCACUCCAGUACUUGACUCUUACAAGACCAGAUAUUUCUUUUGCUGUGGACAAAGUUUGUCAGUUUCUUCAUGCUCCCACUACAGUUCAUUGGACUGCUGCAAAACGGAUAGUAAGAUAUGUCAAAGACACUGUUAAUGUUGGUCUUACGUUCUCCAAGUCUACUUCAACUCUUGUCAGUGCAUUCUCUGAUUCUGACUGGGCAGGAGAUAUUGAUGAUAGGCGCUCUACUGGUGGUUUUGCAGUAUUCUUUGGACCUAACCUUAUAUCUUGGUGUGCAAAGAAACAGGCUACAGUCUCAAGAUCAAGUACAGAAGCAGAAUACAAGGCUUUGGCUAAUGCAACAGCAGAAAUUACCUGGGUUCAGUCCAUGCUCAGAGAACUUGGAAUAAAACAUACUCAAGCUCCAUGUCUUUGGUGUGACAAUCUUGGUGCCACUUAUUUGUCUGCAAAUCAUGUGUUUCAUGCAAGAACAAAACAUAUUGAGAUUGACUUCCACUUUGUUCGAGAAAGGGUUGCUAGCAGGAAGCUUGAGAUCCGGUUUGUACAUUCCAGAGAUCAAGUUGCAGAUGGCUUCACCAAGGCAUUGCCUACAAGGAAUUUUGAAUUAUUCAAACGUAAUCUCAACUUAACAAAGUUGUGAUUAUGGGAGGGUGUUAAACAUAUAAGGUUCAGGUUCAGCGCAUAGUGCAACAUUGUAACGUGGUAGAUCUCUUGGAGAUAUUCUGGUAGUUUGUUGGCCUAGGUAACUAGCUUAACCGUGGCUAACUCUAUCUCUCUCUUUCUUCUUCUCCAAGAUGUACUCUAUCUCCUGUAUGCGCUACAGGGAUCUGCGCCCCUGCCUAUAAACAUGAACCACGUCCCCUCGUACAGAGGUAAGACGUUUAUCGCAUCUUCACAGACUCAUGAAGAUGAUGGCUAGCCUGCACGAACAUUUGUGGCUUCUGCAUAGAUGAUUCAGAUAGUCUACAAGAAAGGUAAAUAAUUAUAGGGGAUAGAUGUACGUUGCUCCCACAAUAUCCAGUUAUUGUCAGCAAACUUGCUUGUGGGCCAUGCCGACGAUGACAGGUGUAUGAAAAUGCAGCUCACCGACGGCGAUUGGAGCACCAACUUGGGUGACCCAGCUGUUUGACGCCGCCGGCUCGACCUACUUCGCUAGCAGCAUCGAGGAGGACGUGGAGCUCGUAGCCUCUUGAGCCCUCCGCGGGGCUCGUCUCGUCAGGCCGCCAUGGUUGCAGUAUAAAAAUCCUUACUGCCAUAUACAUGUCCCUUUUUUCCUCCCCGUCGCUUCCGCGGAUGAAAACCACAACAAACUCCUGCAAACACGCGAACAAUCGGCCAUGGCUUCCGCCCUCCGAGCCCCGCGAAGUCAUGUACAAUCUUACCGGCUGGCAUCAUCUACAAUCUUACCGGCUGGGAUCAUAUAGUUAUCAGAGUGUCACUUUUUGAUUUGGUACUGUCAUGUUUUUCAGCAGCCAUUAUAUAAUUAGCUGCUCAUCUUCCCACGUGCUGUUAUAGCCCUCCACAUAUCUGAAGGCAAAGAUGGUCCAUGAGUGUCCAUGUGAUGAAGAUCUUCAUGGCUAUUUCAAAAUAGACCUGAUGUUAGGUGAAAAUAUUCAUCGAUGGUUCAAUGAAGAUGCAUCAAAUUUCAAAAUAGAAUGCUAAUAAAUUACACCCUAGAGCAAUAUGAGAGUAUUUAAAUUUGGAUGGACCUAAACCUAUCCAGCACAGUACACAAGCUCUUUUAAAAUAUCGACAUUUAUCCGGUUUGCAUUUUUUUGUACUGGAGUUAAACCUAUCCAGCAUGUUCGUGAACCUAAAGUCGGCUUCAGUAUAUAUCAAUUGGAAGUCGGCUUAUGAGGCUUCAGUAUAUAUCAAUUGGAAGCCGGUUUCUGUGGCUCUGCCUGUAUGUUUACAUUUUGCAAACGCAGUUUAUGCCUGAUAUUUGUGUCUCUUUAUUUAUGCAGAACUAUUCUAGAGCUCAAGGCAUCAGGUACACUUUAGAUACAAACUCUCGCGCUCAACGGAGUUUCCAUGUAGUGUUAAAUUCCGGUGAACUAUAUCUCACCCCAUGCAUGCUGCCUACUCCUUUGUUGCAAACACAAAGCUGCAUGAGACCAGAUCGAUUAGGUAUACUUUGUUACUGACUGAUUGGUUCAUGGAUUAAGCAUGGACUGUAGGAAAUUAGGAGUUGUACAAGGAGGAAAGGAGAAGAGAAGAGAAGAGAAGAAAGAGGACUUAUUUCAUUGGAUUCGCGGCUGUUUGAUUCCUGUUUGCUGCAAGGAUAGAUCUCCGUUGACCACAUAUUCAGUAGUAGAUCAAAAGCUUAUUUUAAAUUCUAGGAAUAAUUGGGUUCAUAAUUUGGUUGUGGCACCCACAUGAAAGCUGUAGAGUCCAUCGAUAUCUUUCCAAGGAUACUAAGUUUCUGCAAUUCAGAAUAAUGAUUGUCAAGAUAUCACCAAAACAUAUUUCUAUGUUCGAGGAUUUUUAAUACUAGAAGAUUUUCUGUUUUACAAGAAUUACUCUACUUACAGGAAGAACCAGUUUUUGGCCGCCACAUGAACUUACAAAUGAUCUCCUUCUGAUAUUCAUACUAUUCUCAUUUGCUUGAUUUUGUGAAGUGCAUUAAGAUUUAUAGUAUAGACCAGAUAUGUUCAGAAUGGUUUCAAUGUUAAGUGAAAGAUAGGAACACAUGAUUUCAGUAUCUUGAUGAGGGCCAGAUUUAACUUGCUGAUGAAUAACAGAAGUUAUAUUGCUGGGACAUGUUUUUGGCCUCACAUUACUUAACUCUGCAGCUGGUUUGUAGAGCUGCAUCUUCUCUUAUUCUUUUUGGUUCUUCGGAUGAGCGACGCUGCCUGUGGGUCGUGGACAAAGCGGCUGCUACUUCCAGGUUUGAUUUUUUGCUGAUCAGUUCCUGGUGAUGGGAUUAUGGUUUUUUGUGUGACUUCUCCUGAAGAGAUUUUUGUUUUUGGUUUUGGUUUUGAUGGUGAAUUUAGGAUAACAGGGACAAUGAUGUUGCCAUACCGGCAGGUGCUGGACAUGAUUCUCAAAGAAGAUACGGAUGUGCAUGCUUCACAUCUUCUACACGCUUAUGCAAAGUGGGAUUUUAUUCAUAUUUUGAUGAGCUUAAUUUCUUAUGCUACUGAUUGCUUCUGCCUGAAGGAUACAUAUGGUAUGUUUUGUGAGCGGUGGGUAUGGAUGAGGUGAGAGCGUCUGUUAGUGAGUCAUUUUUGUUGGAUACUUUAAUCUGUUAGGGUUGAUAUAUAUUUUGAUUGGCGUGGUUGCCUCAAAGUAAUGCCCUGCUACUCCUUGGGGGACGUGAGCGAAGAUUUAUGCCUUAAGCAUAGGAAUGAGGGAGUAGGUUCCAAUAGAAUAGGCGAUGAUGCUAGGAGAGGCACAUCGAGGAACAAGUACAUGGUGCUACUCGAUGGUCAGCCACAUUCUGACUAUUAUUUUGGCAUGCCAAAGAGAUAGCACAUGAUGUUCUACUGCUGGGGAAUUGAAGUAUAGUGCUUAACAAUAUACUGGCAUGUAUUUUUUUUUAAGUAUAUAGUGGUUUCCUUUAGUUGAAAUACAGAAAAAAUUUCACCCCCAAUGAUUCAACAAGAGUUGUUCAUUAAAAGCGUGUGGUUUCUUUCUUCAUCAAGAAUUGAAAUAAUAUGUACUAUUAGAACUCCAUGGAGAGCAAUAAUAUAAUUGUCACAUGGGGUGAUCUUUAUUGGCUAAUUGUAUAGCUUAUGAUCUUAUGGAGUUUAGGUUUGUAAAUCCACGUAUUUUUUAGAUGAAGAAACAAAGAAGGAAAUGACUAUAUCAAGGAUCACAUAUGGUUAAAUGUAGAGACAACGAACACGGUGGCAUAUUACUUGCAACAUGGUGAAACUUUUAGGAUAGAAGGGUAAACGAAUUGCUCGGUCGCUUCAAGAGUUAAUAAUGGACAUGGUGGCACAUGUAUACUUCGCGGUAAUGCAUGAUAUUCGACUGUAUGUUACAACAUGGCAAUGACUCAGGAUAUAUCGGAUCUGCCUUGAUGGCGGUGGCGGAUCAGCACGAACACAAGGGGUGGGGAUCAGGGCGGAGAGUGGGUGAUUGGCGGGGGACUCCUCCUUGGUGGUCUGUGGGGAUAUACAAUGUGAAGGUGGGAGGGCGCCAUGGCGAGGUGAGGUGGGCGUCAUCUGGUUUUAAAGAAGAGGGCUCCAGCGAGAAAUGUCCGGCUACGGUGGGAAACCGAGCGGGAAGGGGUGGGUUCAACAGAAAAAGGGAAUGGUGCGUCGUGGGUUGAGUUUUUGUGUUAGGACCGUGUGUUGAAGAUAAAAUGACGGAUAGUCCGGAGAAGCAUAUUUCUCCUCCGCAUAUGGUAUGGAUUUGAAGAAGUUCAGAUUGUCCAGAUGGUUAAAUUUUGGGGUGCAUUCUGGGUGCCCGUUUGAUGUUCUAACACGCCCAAAUAUAUGAGGAAGAAAUGAACUCCGACCUUCGAUCUGUUUGAUUCAUUUAUAUAUAUGCCUUGUAGCCCGUAGCAAUGCACGUGUAUUGUACUAGUCUCGAUAGUGGUUGGGUUGGUCGGAUUGGUGGCGAGGACCCAACUAAAUCUUUUUUUCCUCCGCGUCUGCCUCUAUCUUUGGGUUGAGCCUGCCUCUUCAUUUGGUGGCUGCACGGCAAUCUUCGGGACACGGUUGCUUCGACCGCUCUAUCCUACGACGGCGUAACCAUGUGCUCCCCUCCUGUCAUGAGUCGAUGGGGGAGUCGACCGCGCCAAGACGGGCAGGGUUGUCGACGCAGGCGAGGGCGAGGGCGGGGUCGAGGGGCUCCAUGACCUCCUCAACGCGGCUGACGCCGGCGUCGAUGCGCGAGCAGCGCUUGAGCGUGAGGACGGCGCGGGAGGGGCGCGGCGUCGGUGCUGUAGAGGCGGACCCUCUGGGCAGCGGUGGUGGCGGCGAGGGGCCGCGCGGGGGCGUCGGUGCGGAGCAGGCGGGGCGCGAGGAAGGAGGAGAGGCGCCGGUGUGCGGCUGCGUCGGGGAGCCGGAGCUUGAUCUCGACCUCCAUGGGGUUGGGGUUGCGGCUAGGGCUGGGGGGCGGGGGCUGGAAGGGGCGGGCGGCGGCGUCUACUCUGGGAGUUUUAGGGAUCGAGAGGAGCGGAUGAAAAAACCUAUGAAAAAACCCAGUGCACUAGUAGGAAAUGGGGCUUUUACCCCGGUUUGUAAGGGCCUUUUGUCCCGGUUUUCGAACCGGGACUAAAGGGUCGUUACUAAAUCCCUAACCCUUUAGUCCCGGUUCUUACACGAACCGGGACAGAAGGUCCUCCACGUGGCCGCUACUGCCAGCCCAGGCAGGGGGGCCUUUGGUCCCAGUUGGUGCCAACAACCGGGACUAAUAGGCAGUGCCUUUUGUCCCGGUUGGUGUCACCAACCGGGACCAAUAGGCAUCCACGCGUCAGCAUUUCAGGGGCUGGGGUUUUUGUUUUUUUUGAAGGGGGGGGGUUUGGGGGUUAAUUUAGGUGUUUCAUAUAUUGUGUUAGCUAGCUAAUUAAUAGAGAGAAGUGUCCUCUCUUAUCUCCGUGCUUGGUCGACGCUACGUACUAUAUACGUAUGGAGAGGUCUAGACACGCUAGCUAGUAAGCAAAUGAAGGAAACAGAAGAUCGUCAUGAACAUAUGCAUGCAGAGAGAAGUGAUAUCGACCACCUCUCCUUCUCCGAGAGAUUGGUCGAACAACAAGUUCUCGUAUAUCUAUCUGACACUAUCAGCUACAUAUAUACAAUAAUUAUCUCUUACAAUAUAAUCUCCUAAUUAAAUUGUAAGAACACAGGGUCCACAUAGUAUUCUCCGUUUUCAGCGAUCACGUGGUCAAGGAAGAAUGCCGCCAAUUCCUCUUGAAUUGCUCGCAUACGAUCUUCUGCUAGGAGUUCAUCCCGCAUCCGAAACAUCUAAUUUGAAGAAGGGGGUCAAUACAUAUAUAUAUAUAUAUAUAUAUAUAUAUAUGAAUAAAUAAAACUCGACACAAAUGAUGGUAAUAAAAUAAAAUUGUGAAUAUUAUUGCUUACGCACUUCAUAUUGUUCGUCAGAGUAGCCCCGUUCACAGGUCCUGUGGCGGAUAGACUCGCAAACAUAGUAUCCACAGAAAUCAUUCCCUUGUUCCUGCCACAACCACUUUACAAGAAAUAGAGGUCAAUCUAACUGAUAAGCAAGCAUGCUAAAUGGUAUUGAUGAAACUAGCGCUUGAAUCACUAGGAGAUGUGCGGAACAUGCUACUAUAGUACUUACUUUCGGGUGUCUAAAUUGCAGCUUCUUCGGCAGUCCCGGAGCUUUUGUGGUGAAUUUUCUCCAAACCCUGCCAGACAAAGAAAACAAUUACUUGAUAUCAGGAAAUGAACAAAGUUGCUGAUAUGGUGGAUAAUGAUCGAUUUAACUUACUUCUCGAGCAUUUGAGUCAUGUCCGCAUAUUCCUGGGGAUCUUUUUGUCUCGAGUCUAAGACGGUUACUACUCCCUGCUCAAGCUUAAUCUCUAGGAGAAUAUAGUGGAAGCUGCGCAUGCAUGCAUAAGUCAUCAAUUACAUUACCAUAACCUGGACUAAUAAGGGAAACCGAAUAUGCACAAGACAGUAACACUCACUUGAAGUUAUAAGGAAAGAGUAUUAUAUCUUUGUUUUGAUUUAAUACCAACGAUCGUAGCAAGUUGGCCUCGGCUUCUUUGGCAUGUUUUUCAACCAUAUAUGCAUCUAUGAGAUUUGUGUUAAUGAACCCAAUAUCACCGAUUUGUCUUUUCUUCAAUUCGGCGAUCUUCAAUCUGCAUAAUAUAGUGAGGAUAAUUAUAAACACAUGCAAUGAAAGAGCUGACCUAUAUAGAGAGACUUAAUGACAGAAGUAGUACUACUUAUAGACAGUAGCAAGUGAUCGUUGAUUUAUCAAGGGCCUUUUGAUUGAAAAACUGGAAGAACUCCUCAAAUGGAACAUUCAGCAGUUCAAUUCCAACGAGGUCAUGCUCCGGUUUAACUCUCAGCGUCAAAGUAUUCAUCCCAUCAGACUCUCUGCAGGUUUUCAUGUACCAAUCAUGUAAUCUUCGCAUCAUCAUUGUUAGAGAUCUUUCAUCUUUGACGAGAGGCUUCCCGUAAUGGUAUUUGUGUUCGUCCACCUCCAUGAUUUCAUAAUGUACAUCGUCGGGCAGGUAAUCUCCAAGAUUGCUAUAACCGGGCACCAUCCUCGGAUCAUUAGCGACGAUGUCACUAGACUCCUUGAGCGGGGGGCACGAUUGGUUCGCUUGUUCGCCGAGCUGGGCAAUUUUUUUCCCAGCUCGUCGUUCUUUUAACCUUUUAUCACUGACAGUACUUUCCGACCGCUCCGCUUCGGCAUAUGUCUUUGCAAGAAUGCGCUCAUAGUUGCCUCUCGGCGGAGACUUUGGUGGUUUUGUCAGGGCAGCCAGAGUGCGCUUUGCUGUCACCGGAUCUACCUUCUCCUCCGGAGGUGGAUGUUUCUUUACUUUCACCCCUUCAAAGAAGUUCUUCACUUCGGCUUGCACGAUCUUCCUGGUUUCCUCCUCGGUCCUCUCGUAUGGUAACUUCUCUGGAGUCUUCAGAGAAGGACCGAAUCUGUAUUGCCUCCCGCGUCUGGCAGCUGUAUUGCUAGACGCCGGCAGAGCAGACGGAGCGGCUGCGGCUGUCUUCUUUCCUUGCUUACAAGGCAGAGGAGAAGGACUAUGACGCGCCAGAGCAGCCGGAGCGGCGGUGGGUCUCUUCCGCCCUUGCUGACGAGGCGGAGAAGGAGGAGGCUGGCUGCUCUGGCACGCCGGCGCAGGCGGAGAAGGAGGCAGAGUGUCGCCACGCGCCGGAGAAGGAGGCUGAUGAGUGCCCUGAUCACUCGCCGGAGGAGGAGGCGGAGGAGGAGGCGGAGUGCCGCCACGCGCCGGAGAAGGAGGCUGAGUGCCCUGAUCACUCACCGGAGGAGGAGGCGGCGGCAGAGUGCCCUUACUCGCCGGAGGCGUCCAGUUCGGAAGGUUAAUGAGCUCCUUCCGCCAUAGGCACGGAGUCUUCAGAGCUAAACCCAGCCGAGUCUCCCCUUCACCGGUAGGGUGGUCAAGCUAGAGGUCCUCAAAUCCCUCCGUUAUUUCAUCCACCAUCACCCUAGCAUAUCCUUCUGGAAUCAGCCGGCAGUGGUAGGUUGCGCCGGGUUCAGGAGGUAAAACAGAGCCAACAGCCACCUUGACUUUGAAGUUCUGCCAUUGCUCCAUAAGGUGGCAAUGUAGAGACUCCGUGAUAGCAUCCACGGGGUAGAUAGCAGGAGCUGUCAAGACAUGCUCCGGCUGAAGCAGCUCGGUGGAAGCCACGCUGCUUCUCCGCUGAGAUGGCGGGGUAGCUUCGGGGGUAGUUUCGGCAUGUCGAUUGUCGUCUCGUUCCUCUAGCGCUUGAACCCUUUCGUGCAGCUUCUGAAUUUGGGUCUGCUCCAUUUUUUUCCUCCUCUCCUGGCUUUUGUAACCGCCUGCGUCCGGAAAACCAGCCUUCCACGGAACGGAGCCUGGCGUGCCUCGUGUCCGUCCAGGGUGCUCAGGAUUCCCGAGGGCCAUUGUGAGCUCGUCGUUCUCUCUGUCUGGAACGAAUGUCCCUUCCUGCGCUGCAUCGAUAUAUUGCUGAAUCUUCUUGACUGGUAUUCUCAAAAGCUCGUUCGUCCAAACGCACCUCCCUGAUACAGGGUCCAAGGUUCCGCCAGCCUCGAAGAACCAAGUCCGGCAACGGUCUGUCCAGUUCAUUGUCUGUGGUUCGAUCCCUUUUUCAAGCAGAUCAUUCUCAACCUUGGCCCACUUAGGUCGGGCUUUGAAGUAGCCACCUGACCCCGUGCGAUGGUGAAGCUUCUUCUUCGCAGCAUUCUUCUUGUUUGUCGCUGACAUCUUCUUACUCUUUUCCGAUGUCUUGUGGGCCACAAAUGCGGGCCAGUGAUCUCUGAUCUUCUCAUACCGGCCGAUGAAUUCUGGUGUCUCUUCUUUGUCGACAAACAUUUUCAGCUCAUUCUUCCACUUCCUGAAUAGGUCUGCCAUCUUCUUAAGAGCAUGAGACUUGAUUAAUUGCUCUUUACUAGCUUCUCCGGAUCCUCCUCUGGCGGUAGGGUGAAAUUUGCCUUCAGCUCAGUCCAAAGAUCAUCUUUCUGCAUAUCAUUGACAUAAGACACCUCAGGGUCUUCCUUCUUAGGCUUAUACCAUUGCUGGAUGCUGAUCGGGAUCUUGUCCCUAACUAGAACCCCGCACUGAGCAGCAAAUGCAUCCUUUGUCCGGAUGGGUUCAAUCGGUUGGCCGUCGCGCGCGAUUGCUGUGAUCUCAAACCUUUCAUCCGAGCGCAACUUUCUCUUCGGGCCUCGUCUCUUUACCGCAAUUGUGCUCGAUCCGGAGCGCUAGAAAAAAGAAGAAAGACGAGUGUUAAUUAAUAUGUGUACAUACCAAAACAAUGAAUGCAUCAAUUAGCUAGUCAGCACAAGCUUAACUAAUAUAUUUACCUGGCCGGACUCUGUUCGGUCACUGGAGCCGUCACCACGGGCUCCUUCUUGCACCAGCAUUGGGUCACCGGAGCCAUCAUAAUCAUGUCUUUCCUCCUCCACUCUUCGAUCACCGUAGCCUGCUUCUUCACCCUGUUCUUUCAGACCAUCAUUGUCGUUAAGAUACGACAAGAUAUCACCUCCGGCUAAGAUUAUGUCCCCCAACACCUCUUCUGCUUGCUCGUCUCGUCCGUGCUCCAUUGUUUCUGCAAAUAUUACAACAUGGCAAUUAUUACACAAACAUGACAGCAGGUGGAUAUAUUAGUGCAAACGUAGACCUAGCUUAUUCCGGGUUUGGGGUGGCCUCGGCAACGCUUCAAGGGUAGGGGCGCGACGGGAGGGGGUAGGAGACCGACAUCGUUUUUUUCUAGGGUUUGGGUGUCCUUGAGAGUUUUGGUCGAGCAAGAGGGCCGGGGGGUGCUCCCGUGGUAUAUGUUAUCACGGUCGAGAGGGGGUAUAAAUAUCGACCGUCCAUCAUGUCGAAGUUAUCUGAGAGGGAGUUAUAUAUAUCGACAACGACGACAUACAUACAUGGGAAAAUAAUGUUAUCCGGGAGGGGGUAUAUCGACCCCUCCCCACGUGUUGAAGUUAUCAGGAGGGGGUUAUAUCGACAACGACGACAUACGUACAUGGGAAAAUAAUAUUAUCGGGGAGGGGGUAUAUCGACCCCCCCUCGUGUUGAAGUUAUCGGGAGAGGGGUAUAUCGACGACGACAGACCCGAUAAAACAUAAGAAAACGAAGAAGAAAUAAAAAGAGGAGAAGAAGAAAAGGAAUAGAGGAGAAGAUCGAAGAAAANNNNNNNNNNNNNNNNNNNNNNNNNNNNNNNNNNNNNNNNNNNNNNNNNNNNNNNNNNNNNNNNNNNNNNNNNNNNNNNNNNNNNNNNNNNNNNNNNNNNNNNNNNNNNNNNNNNNNNNNNNNNNNNNNNNNNNNNNNNNNNNNNNNNNNNNNNNNNNNNNNNNNNNNNNNNNNNNNNNNNNNNNNNNNNNNNNNNNNNNNNNNNNNNNNNNNNNNNNNNNNNNNNNNNNNNNNNNNNNNNNNNNNNNNNNNNNNNNNNNNNNNNNNNNNNNNNNNNNNNNNNNNNNNNNNNNNNNNNNNNNNNNNNNNNNNNNNNNNNNNNNNNNNNNNNNNNNNNNNNNNNNNNNNNNNNNNNNNNNNNNNNNNNNNNNNNNNNNNNNNNNNNNNNNNNNNNNNNNNNNNNNNNNNNNNNNNNNNNNNNNNNNNNNNNNNNNNNNNNNNNNNNNNNNNNNNNNNNNNNNNNNNNNNNNNNNNNNNNNNNNNNNNNNNNNNNNGCGUCGUCGGGGCAAACUGCAGAUGAACUCUGAAAAAUUUCCUAAGUGUUUGCUUAUAUAGCAAAGCCUUUAGUCCCGGUUCGUGGCACCAACCGGGCCUAAAGGUAGGCAUUAGUCCCGGUUGGUGCCACCAACCGGGACCAAAGCCCUCUUUUCAGCAGCCCAAAGGGCGGGAAGCGGCGGCCUUUGGUCCCGGUUGGUGGAACCAACCGGGACUAAAGGGGGGGCAUUGGUCCCGGUUGGUGCCACGAACCGGUACGAAUGCACCCCUUUAGUCCCGGUUGGUGGCACCAACCGGGACCAAGGCCUCUUGCUGCCCGCGUCGCGGCCAAAAGUUUAGUCCCACCUUGCUAGCCGAGGGGCGCCCGCACCAGUUUAAAAGCCGCGGCGCGGCUGCUGUCUCGAACUCCUCUCUAUAGCAGGAUUCUGGGCCUAACUUUGGCGCGCUGCCCGUUGAGCCUUCUAGCCCUUCUGGUCCUGUAUUUGCAAACCUGAGGGUUGGAAGGCCCAGCGGGCAGCGCCCCAACAAUUUUUUUUGCUGUAUUUAGUUUUUCUGUUUUCUUUUUUUUCUUUAUUUAUUUUGUUUUGUUUCUACUUACGACAAAAAACUUAUUUAUUUUAUUUUGUUUCUAAUUACUUAUUUNNNNNNNNNNNNNNNNNNNNNNNNNNNNNNNNNNNNNNNNNNNNNNNNNNNNNNNNNNNNNNNNNNNNNNNNNNNNNNNNNNNNNNNNNNNNNNNNNNNNNNNNNNNNNNNNNNNNNNNNNNNNNNNNNNNNNNNNNNNNNNNNNNNNNNNNNNNNNNNNNNNNNNNNNNNNNNNNNNNNNNNNNUUGUUUUCUUUUUGCUUUAUUUAUUUUGUUUUGUUUCUACUUACAACAAAAAACUUAUUUAUUUUAUUUUGUUUCUAAUUACUUAUUUAUUUUACUUUAUGAUAAUUCUUUUUGCUAUUAAAGUUUCUAUCAAAAAAGUUCUUUAUGAAAAUUCUUUUUGCUUUUAAUGAUUUUGAACAGAAAAUACUUCGAUAAUUUUAGUUGCAUCAAUUUUAUAUGAUUUUAGUUUCAAUAAUACUAGAGGUUUCUUAUANNNNNNNNNNNNNNNNNNNNNNNNNNNNNNNNNNNNNNNNNNNNNNNNNNNNNNNNNNNNNNNNNNNNNNNNNNNNNNNNNNNNNNNNNNNNNNNNNNNNNNNNNNNNNNNNNNNNNNNNNNNNNNNNNNNNNNNNNNNNNNNNNNNNNNNNNNNNNNNNNNNNNNNNNNNNNNNNNNNNNNNNNNNNNNNNNNNNNNNNNNNNNNNNNNNNNNNNNNGUUUCUAAUUACUUAUUUAUUUUACUUUAUGAUAAUUCUUUUUGCUAUUAAAGUUUCUAUCAAAAAAAGUUCUUUAUGAUAAUUCUUUUUUCUAUUAAAGUUUAUUUUAUUUUGUCGUAACACAAGAAGUCCGGAGUUGUAAUAAGUUAUUAAAAAUGGAAAAGAGGCGCAAUGCUCGUUGAUUAGCUUCAAGCCUUUCGGAAUAGUGUAGACUGCACUGCACAUAGCUCCAUGUAGUCUACCUUAUUCCUCAAGGCUUGAAGCUAAGCUACGUGAAGGUGAGCAUUGCGCCUCUUCUUCAUCGUCUCUGCACUCAGGGCUUAUAAACCGCUCCUAGUGCCUCUCAGCUAGCGAGGUGGGACUAAAAAACUGCUUAGUAAGAAACUCUAGUACCGGUUCGUGCCACGAACCGGUACUAAAGGUGCUCGUGGGGCCACAGCCUCAUUACUACCGGUUCGUGGCAGCAACCAGGACCAAAGGGUGGAAUCGGUCCCGGUUCGUGCCACCAACCGGGACCAAUGGCCUUGCACAGCGGCGUGGUGGUGGGAGUUUAGUCCCACCUCGCUAGCUGAGAGAGAGCCGCACCUUUUUAUAAGGUGCGGUGCGCCUGAGCUGUCGAGCUCCUCUCUAAAGCAGGCUUACGGGCCUAACCUCUCUGUACAUGCCUGUGGGCCUACUGGGCCUUCUGCGGGCCUGAAUCCUGGCCCAUGGAUGGGUUUCUAAUCGUAUUCAGGCCAUGGUGGCCCAGUAGGUGGCAUAAUUUUUAAUUUUUGGCCUGUUAUUUUUCAUGCAUUUAGUAAUUAUUUUGAGCUAUAAGACCCUAAAAUUGAAAAGCAUUUCAAAUGAACUCUAAAAAGGUUGAAAUUUGGCAUGGUAUCAUCAUUUCAUCCACAUAGCAUGUGCAAGAAAAUUGAGAGGGUUACGGCAAAAACUAGAUGCACUUCGUGUACAAAACGGACAAUGGUAUCAUACUCGUCUGUUACAAAGUUGGCAUGGUAUCAUCAUAAUAGUUGCGGGAGAAAGUCUUCACUUUUUCUUCGCUUGUGUCAUUUGCAUCAUUGGGCACAUCGUCUGGUUCCUCUUGAUCUUCAGCAGCUUCCCCCGUUGCAGCAUCACCGUAUUCAGGGGGCACAUAGUUGCCAUCGUCCUCUUCUUCUUCGCCGUCUUCCAUCAUAACCCCUAUUUCUCCGUGCCUCGUCCAAACAUUAUAGUGUGGCAUGAAACCCUUGUAAAGCAGGUGGGUGUGAAGGAUUUUCCGGUCAGAAUAAGACUUCGUAUUCCCACAUAUAGGGCAUGGACAACACAUAAAACCAUUCUGCUUGUUUGCCUCAGCCACUUCGAGAAAAUCAUGCACGACCUUAAUGUACUCGGAGGUGUGUCUGUCACCGUACAUCCAUUGCCGGUUCAUCUGCGUGCAUUAUAUAUAAUUAAGUGUGUCAAAAACCAUUACAGAACAUCAUGAAUAGAUAAUUAAGUGACCAAAUUAAUAGAAGUUCAUCAUCACAUUAAAACCAAAGUACAUACAUAGUUCUCAUCUAACAACAUAUAUAUAGCUCUCCAGAGCAUCUAAUUAAUUAAACCAUACAUUGAAACUAUGUAAAACAUUUCAAUGCGAAAACAAAUGCGAUCAUAAUCGCAACCAAGGUAACAAUUGAUCCAACGGCAUAAUGAUACCAAGCCUCGGUAUGAAUGGCAUAUUUUCUAAUCUUUCUAAUCUUCAAGCGCAUUGCAUCCAUCUUGAUCUUGUGAUCAUCGACGACAUCCGCAACAUGCAACUCCAAUAUCAUCUUCUCCUCCUCAAUUUUUUUUAUUUUUUCCUUCAAGUAAUUGUUUUCUUCUUCAACUAAAUUUAACCUCUCGAUAAUAGGGUCGGUUAGAAUUUCCGGUUCAACCACCUCCUAGAUAAAUAAAAUCUAUGUCACGUUGGUCGGCAUAUUUGUCAUAAACAAUAAAUGAACCAAAUAGUUAUAAAAAGAUAAUAUAUACCACAUCCGACUCAUAGACAGGACGAGGGCCGACGGGGGCGGAUACCAAAACCAUCGCACUAUGUAAUAAGAAGGAAUAAUAAAAGUAAAAAAAUUAGACAAGUAUCUAUCUAAAGUAAGAAUUUUUUUCCUUUCAGAAAGAAGAUAAGAACAAGAGGCUCACCACGGUGGUGCUGGCGACGAGAUCGGCGCGGGCGAUCAACGGCGGUGAAGACGGGGACGGGACGUGACGGACGGCUAAACCUAGACAAAUCUCGGGGAAAAUGGAGCUCGGAGGUCGAGUUUCGAGAGGAGAAAGAUUAACUAGUGUGGCUCAAACAUUUCAUCGAACACCUCAUGUGCAUAGGAGGUGAGCUAGAGCACCCAAAUGCCCUCCCCUCGCCGGCCAGAAAAAAUAGAGCACUGUGGAGUGCUCUGCUGUGGCAACGAGGUAUAUAUAGGGAACUCAUUGGCCCCGGUUCGUGGCACCAACCGGGACUAAAGGCCUUUGGUCCCGGUUUGUGGCACCAAUCGGGACCAAUGCCCCCCUUUAGUCCCGGUUGGUGGCACCAACCGGGACCAAAGGCCUUGUGCUGCCCCGCGUCAAAAGUUUAGUCCCACCUCGCUAGUUGAGAGGGCUCGAGAGUGGUUUAUAAGCGCUGCUGCGCCCACCCUCUCGAGCUCCUUCAACUGCAAGCUUUCGGGCCUAACCGUUCUCUUUGCCUGUGGGGCCUACUGGGCCUUCUGCGGGCCUGAAUCCUGGCCCAUGGAUGGAUUUCAAGUCGUAUUCAGGCCGUGGUGGCCAAGUAGGUGGCAUAAUUUUUUUCUCGGUUUUUUGUUUUCUCUUUUGCUUUAUUUGUUUUGUUUUAUUUCUACUUACAACAAAAAACUUAUUUAUUUUAUUUCCAAUUACUUAUGUAUUUUACUUUAAUUAUUUUAUUUUUAUUUAUUUUACUGCUGCUAUUUUUAUCUAUUUUACUGCUGCUAUUUUUAUUUAAUUUAUUAAGGUUUAUUUAUUUUAGUUAUUAUAGUUUAUUUUAUUUUAUUUUAUUAAGGUUUAUUUAUUUUUAUUUAUUUUAUUAAGGUUUAUUUAUUUUAUUUACUAUAAAAAAUGAACAUAGAUGCGCCUUUAGAGAAAAUUCAACCUAAAUUCAUAAUAAAUUUCUAUGAAAUUCAAAGAAAUUUACUGUGAAUUUAGGUCAAAUUCCCUGUAUAAGGGCAUCUAUUUUCACUUUGAGAGGAGCUCAACAAGGCAGAGAGGGACGGGCUUAUAAACUGGUGUGAGCGCCCUUCGGUUGGCGAGGUGGGACUAAACACUGGCCGCAACUAGGACCAGCCCUUUAGUCCCGGUUUGUGGUAUGAACCGGGACUAAAGGGUGGUGGGCCAGGAGCGUGGCCCAUUGGUCCCGAUUUGUCCCACCAACCGGGACCAAAGGGGCCGGACAAACCGGGACCAAUGCCCCCACGAGGCCCGGCAGGCCCCUGGCCGCACGAACCGGGACCAAUGCUCGCAUUAGUCCCAGUUCGUGACUGAACCGGGACUAAUGUGGAUAUUGCCCUGUGACCAAAGCCCAGUUUUCUACUAGUGGUGGAAGGUGGGACGAAAAACAAACCAUGAUAGGUGGGACGAAAAUAAACCUGGAACGGAGACUACCAAGUACCAACUGAGGCAUUAGGAGUAGAGAUUUCCCGUGUCAUACAUGUCCAGCGAGAAGACCACAACUCCUUCUAUGUCGCGUACUAUUGUGGAGACCCUCUUUUUGGAUUUUUUUUUCAUCCGUUCACCUUCGAAAGAAUUUUUUUUCUUUCUAUUCGAGGUGGUACUAAAAUUUUAUGCGUGUAUCCGCUAGAAAAGAAAAAAGAUUUGUCCAGAGGCCGCGCACGCUCCGGCCCAAUGAAGCCAGCACACUUAUUAUUGCCCACGUAGUUGGGAAGAACUUAUUUGUUGUAUUGAGCGAUAAAUAAUUGAAGCUGCCCAUAGGACGCCUAAAACAGGGUCGGCCCAUUUCCCCUUUUUAGAUGUUCUAUUUCUAUUUUUUUCUGUUCCUUUCUCUUUCUCUUUUAUAUUUCCUCUUCCUUUUUUCCAUCUUUAUUUUUUAGUUUUUCUGUCAAAUAAAAAUUUACAAAAAUAUUCAGAAUUUGCAAAUUUUGUUCAAAUAUUGAAAAUUAGUCAGAGUUCAAAUUUUUUGUUCCUGAUUUGAAAAAUGUCCGAAACUUUUAUAAAAAUUCAUGUUUUGAAAUUUUCUCAUUUUUAAUUUUUUGUGUUUUUAAAAAAUUCUUAGAUAUUUUUUAAUAAAAACUACAUUUUAUAAAGUGUUCCAUAUAUAAAACUAUCCCUGUUUUAGUGACAUGUUCACAAAUCCAAAACAAUAGUUUUGUCUGAGAAAACAUUUUCUAAAAUGGUUUUGAAUGUUCCCCUUUUAAAAAGAUCAGAAAUUCAAAAAUAUUUGUGUGUUUUAUAAAAUUAUCAUGUUUUCAAAAAUAUUGUUUGUGAAUUUCAAAAACUAUUAAUGUUUCUAAAUUUUUUUGUUUUUCCAAAAAUAUUGGACUUUAAAAAAAAUGUCGCAUCUUUUGAAAAUUGUUUGGGAUUUAAAAAAUUGUUCACGUUUCCAAGAAUUUCGCCAAUUCAUAUUUAUGUUGAAUGUUCAAAAAAAAACCAAAAGAUAUUUCUAAUAUUACGCUAUAGUACUCCCCCCGUCCGGAAUUACGUGUCGCGAAAAUGGAUGAAAAUGGAUGUAUCUCGAACUAAAAUACGUCUAGAUACAUCCAUUUCCCCGACAAGUAUUUCUGGACGGAGGGAGUAUAUUAUUAAAUAUUCGCUGGCCAUUGGUUGGCGAUGCAUGGUCGUUCUAUGCUGGUUUACUAUAAAUGAAAGAAAUUGUAGGCACAUGCCAAUAAAAGAGAAUAUGUUGUUUGGCUUUAAUUGGAGCAAAAUGAUGGGCACUUGAGCACUAAAAUAAUCAAAGAGAAUAGACCCUAAAAAAGAAGAGACAUUCAUGCCUGAUCAUGCUAAUGAAAUGGGAUUGAUGCGUUGCAAUUAAUGAUCCACCUGGUUACGUGGUCAUAGGAUAGAGUGGUCAAAGCAACCGUGUCCCGAAGGUUGCCGUGCAGCCACCAAAUGAGGAGGCAGGCACAAUCCAAAGAUAGAGGCAGAUCCGGAGGAAAAAAGGCAUGAGUUGGGUGCUCGCCACCAAUCCGACCAACCCCACCAAUAUCGAGAUUUCCCGUGUCAUACAUGUCCAGCGAGAAGACCACAACUCCUUCUAUGCCGCGUACUAUUGUGGAGACCAUUUUUUUUGGACGACACAUCAAUUAUCUUUCCCGUUGCUUCUUACAAAAAAAAUGUCUUUCCUGUUGCAACGCACGGACAUAUAUGCUAGUAACUAUUAAGCAAUGUAUUUCGGAGCUGAUUAAUAUUUCUUUAUUAUGCAAGUACACUGCAUAAUAUAAGGCCUAAUAAAUUUAUACAUGUGAGAAAAAAAAUCUUGGGUCUUGGCAUUACUUGAUUCUUCACCACCUCUCAGUUUCAUCUAGAAAAGGAUGCCGAGAUUGACCCGGUUAAGUGGAUCAAGAUGGUUGAGAAAGAGAUCUCAUUAGAAUGUAAAAAGAAGAAUCAAAGGAAAGGUCCACGCUUAAACAAACUGGUUACAUGCAUAAAUAGAAAGGUCUGAAUAUGGACAUGUCAAUUCUUACACGGCAGGCAGAUAAAAUCAAGAUCACUAUUGCAACAACAAGAUUACACAGUUACACAAGUUGACAUAUAAUUAUAAGUUAAAUCCAAGUCGUGGCCACCACAUGUCAUAUGCGGUGAGCAAUCUAAAAAAUGUAUAUUGUAACUUAACUUAUGUUCGACGAGGGCGAAAAAUGCAUAUUGUAGCUGAAUCUAAUCAGAUCACGGAGGUGGAACCACACGUCGAGAGGUGAUAACCUUAACUUGUCUUCUCCAGUGAAGCUCACUGCUGCUCCUUUGGGUGGGUGUGUACGACAGGGAUCAGGACCAGACGCCCUCCACCGCAGGCCCCGACAAUUCUCGAUCGAGAGCGACUGUACUACAGUUGUAGAAGCAAUCAAUCACUCCCGUAGCACUCUAGCAGAGUAGAGCGGACAUCAGGGGAGGGAGGCCUAUUUAUUAUCCAAGAAACUCACAAGCAUAUCCUUUCCCAGGGCUGAAAACUACAGAGUGCAGACAGGUUUUCAACAACACUCUUGAGGAAGGAUGAUUUGACAUGCCAGCAACAUCUCCACGGUAACCAGCGCUGAUGCAAGCUUUCCAUCAGUAUGGUAUUGAAACAGAUACCUGGCAGAUGCUGAGGGAGAUGACUUAAUUCACAAUACAUAUGUCUGAAUCUGAACAAGAUAGAAAUCAAAGUUCAGCUAAGCCGAUCGACCUGGUAGUACAUUAUUUGAAGCAAACAGAAUCCAUGCCGUUUCUAUGUGGUUUCCGCCCUGCUUACUCCUGCAUGGCUUGCUGGCGCUCCCUGGCUUGUCGAGUGGCCUUCCUCCGCUCACGGACUAGCCUUGGCAUCUCCUUCCAUGUAUUCGGUUUAAGUGCCAUCACUGCACAUAUCGCAAAUGGCGUCAGAACAAACACGUACAAAUUAAUGUAACAUAAAAAUUUAUACCGGACGGAAGUAAAAUAAUGGAGAACAAACUUGGACAAACAUGCUGGCGUGGUAGAUUUAAUGGAAUGGAUGACUGCAUCUGUUUGUUAAAUGUGGCAAAGAUAGAAGGACGUGCUGCAAGCAUACCUUCAUAACGGGCAUCUAGUCCUUUGAUGUUAAUGCUGCCCAGUUGCUGCUGCAGGCAUCUAGGGAGCUUCUUUAUAGCAGGGCAGCCUGUAAUUCCAACAAAGUAGAGAGACCUGUAUACUUGCGGCUCAUUCGGCAGGGAUGCCAGGGUACUGCAUCUUUCAAGAUAAAGGUAUUCCAGCGAUGGGGGGUGCUCUCCCGACAGACACUCCAGCGAUGUCAGCCCACUGUUGCCAAUAAUGCGCAGUCUCUUGAGGGGCGCAGGCAGACGAAGAGUCCCACCCAACAUGGCAGCACAGUCCAGUAUUGCUAGAUAUUCGAGAUGGGGAGGAAGUAAAUGCUCUCUUGCAGUUGGUGCUGUUGCUGCUGGUGGCUCUGGCAUGAUAGGACUUCUGCUUAUGGAGGUAGUGGCUUCUGGAUUCUGGAGCCCACCCAGCUGACAUGAUAGGACUUGAAUGCUAUUGCAGCCAGAAAUAUAUAUGGUCUUUAAGGAUGGAGGCAGACUUAGAACCGCUUGUAAGCUUCCACAUUCGACUAAACUUAGAUCUUCUAGGCAUGGACAAAAGUGAUUCAUGGGUGAGGAUGGCAACUCUGAUACAGCUGCAGGCAUGACUGCCUCACUGCUAGAAGAUCCUUGGACUAACUCCGGCAUGCCCUGCUGCUUGCCGAAUAUGGACUCAAGCUUAUGGCACCGACGAAUAUUCAUUUCCUUGAGAGAUGCCGAAACGUUGAACAUCUCUACCAAAUUUACACAAUCAUAUAAAUAAAGGGACUCCAGACCUGGCAGGUGUUGACUCCUUUCGGACGCCAAUGGCUCAAGAGGAGCCUGUGCAUAUCCAGUCAGGUUUUCGCAGUUUCUAAUCACUAAUAUCCUCAAGGAUACCAAGCUUUGGAACACAUUCUCUGGCCAGUGGAUGAGCACAUCGCAUCUGUUAAUUACCAGCUCUCCAAGAUGUACAAAAUAGUCCCACGGCUCUAGUGCACCUGGUCCAAAGAAUGAGUUGCAGCGUCCUAACUCCAUAACUGUAAGUGGGGAUUUCUGGUUCCAUUUCUCUUUGCUGUCGACCAGUACAAUUGAAGUGCAUUCAGACUCUGAUGUUGUUUCUGUGUGUUCUAGCUUCAGUGUCAGCUUGGUCAAUGAAGACAAAUACCUGUCUACACAGUGGAAGAUCUCUUGCUUCCCAUCUUCAAUUUCGAAUAAACUGAGUUUUGGUGCUUUGGGCAAUGCUACCAGUUUUGGGCAUUUCUGGACUGACAGUUUCUCAAGCUCAGGAAACAAUGUCCCUUCAACUGCAUCCCAUCUCUGAAAGCUCUCCAAGUCUUCCAUUUUGAGCACCUUGAGGGCAGGAAAGGCUGAACGUACCAAUCUAUAACCACCUCCACUACAUGGUUCUUCAAGCAAUGGUGCUUCAGGUAAAUUUAUCAGCUUUGGGCAUUUCUCAAUUGACAGUUCCUCUAGACAAGGAAACAAUAUAUGUUCUCCUUGAGUCUCUUCGACUGCAUCCCAUCUCUGAAAGCUCUCCAACUCUUUCAUUUUGAGUACCUUUAGGGCAGGAAACGCUGAGCGUACCAAUGUAUAACCACCUUCACCACAAGGUCCUUGCAGCAAUGGUGCUUCAGGUAAUGCUACCAACUUUCCACAAUUACUAAUAAACAACUUCUCAAGCACAGGAAAUAUUGUUUGUUCUUCUUGCCUCUCAUCUAUUUCCGGCCAUCUUUCAAAACCCAACAGAUGUUCUAGCAUAAGCACCUUCAGUUUUGGAAAAGUGAGGAUUGUACUGCAUUUGAACAAAAAUUGCAAUCUUUCACAAUGAAAAAGAUGGAUCUCAACCAUGUUCUGCAACAUACCCAUGCACUCUCCUCCAUAGGAAUAUAUCUUCAGAACCUGCAGCCCAACAUGAGGUUCAAAAUUGUUGAGCACCUUGCUGACACAAACAGAGCUCCAUCUUAAUGUCAGUUCUCUGAGAUCCUUCUUUUUACCGAAAUCUGCCACUUUCGCUUCUGUUUCUAUAUCGAUAUUCUCUAACUGGCAUAGCUCUAGCUGCCCACCAAGGUUUAAAUGCUGCAGCUCUCCAACAUCACUGCAAUCAGGACCAGGAACUCCUGCCACAAACCAUGUCAGCGUCUGUAGGUUAGUGAGUUUUCCUAGUCCUGGAGGCAUGCUCUUCAACCCCGGACAUCCAUGAGUGUAGAGGUGACGGAGGAAAGUCAUAUACUUCAUUUGCAUUGGAAGUCGUUCAAGAUAACGGCAGUCGGAAAGGUCCAACACUUGCAGGUUAUAUAGAAUACUUAUAUCCUCAGGAAGUGCUUCGAUAUCACUCCACGAGAGAUCAAGGUACCUCAGGUGAUGCAGAUACUUUGGUUUGAGCGGAAAUGAUUCUGUUCCCAGACAGAGCUUCAAGGCAUGCAAAGAGCUAUAUUUUGAUAGAUGCUUCAAUGAGCUUUGAAUAGGACUAUCGCAUAUCAGUGUUUGAAUGGCAGGGGACUUUUUCUCCAAAGAAUCAUUCAAAAUACCUUCUGUUUCAUCACAUGACAAGAACAAAUGCCGAGCAGUAUCCGAAAGCCACUCAAUUUGACUUGGUUCCUUAAUUGCAACGACACAUUCCUUUCCCAUAACAGACAUUGCAAUAUCAUGCAUAAGAUCAUGGAUUUUGCAUGUAGUUCUGAAACAGUACUGCUGAUUUUGCAUGUCACCCUUAAAUUCCUCUAUGUCCAGAAAGAAUGACCUUGAUGCUAGCUCACUGAAAAUAUGUUUGCCAACGGUUUCAAGACUAUCUUCCUCCUGUUCUGGGAUAAAGCCAUUUGCAAUCCAAAGUUGGAUAAGCUUCUCCACAUUAAUCUUGUAAUCCUUGGGAAAUAUGGCACAGAAAGCAAAGCAUUGCUUCAUGUGUGCUGGCAAAUCGUUGUAGCUAAGCUUGAGUAUUGGCAAAAUUCCCGUUUCCUCAGUGCAGAUACUGCUUCUAGAUGAUACAACCUUCCAUUCUUCUACGCUGGUCUUGGUACGAAGUACAGAGCCCAGUGCAGUUGCAGCUAAAGGAGAGCCACGACAUCUCUUCACAAUCUCACCAACCAUCUCGAGCAGCUCGGGAGGCUUUUCAUUCUCUGAACUGAAUGCUCUAUCCACAAUAAUUUCCUCUAUGAAGUAAUCCUGCAAAACAUUGAGAUUGUAGGUUCUAUCUACACCCAUAGUUUCAGCAACUUGUUUAUCACGGGUUGUUGUCAACACUGCACUACCCAUGCCACCCUGUUGAAGACAGACCUUCAGCCUUUCCCACUUAUGGACCUCUCUGUUCCAGACAUCAUCCAAUACAAGGAGAUACCUCUGCCCGCUGACCAGUUUUUGAAGUCUAUCCAGUGCUGGUUUGUUUGUAUCAUCAUUUUUCUUGGGGGAUGCUUCAACUAUACUCUUAGCCACCGAAUUCACAUCAAAGGUAUCAGAGAUGCAGACCCAGAGCUGCAACGGAAAAUGCUUCUGAAUUUCAGGUUCAUUGUAUAUGAGUUGCGCCAAUGUGGUCUUGCCAAGGCCCCCCAUUCCAACAAUGGGAACUACUGCAAGAUUUGCAUUGCUAGCUUCACCAAGUAGCACCUUAAUGAUAUUAUUCUUAUCUUCGCGCCUGGAUCUGCUGGCAAUUUCUUGUGGGUCGAUGAUGACAUAAUCUGUGUGCCUCCACUCCUUGGACACUGGUGUCUGCCUCAACUGAUUGGACACCAACAAUGUCUGCCUCAACCCAAAGUCAUGCAUCUCUGCAAUGAGGAAAUUGACGCGGCGCAGAAGCAGGAGGCGACUCCGGUGAAGUUAUGGCGGCCGGCGCCGAACGGUACACACACGGCACAAGACAGUGGAACACAAGGGCUGUGCAGAAUGGUGAGAAGAGUGGUGUGAGCACAGGUGCAGGUGCAGAAUGGAGAAGAGAAUGGUGUGAGCAAGUCGUGCUUGGCUUUCUGUUAACCAAUCACAACUACCCAAUCUUGCAACGUUAACAGCUGGUGUGAGCACUUGGCAUUCUUUUUGGGCAUACCACGUUAACAGCUGGGGGUAUCUUUUUUUCUUAGUAGGGACAGCUGGAGCACCAGACAACCAGAAUAUUGCAAGUGGGUCAUUAUAAUUGAUAUUUAUAUGCCAGUAGAACCAAUGCAGUUUUUCAAAAUUUGCGUUCCACUGGCUGUGAAGUUAGCAAAUACGAUUUACUUUUUCCAAAUACAAAAAGUCGCAGAAAUGCAAAUCUAAAAAUUACCUGCGUGAGACAGCAUACCUAUUUGUGCAAAAGACAAUUCAUCUCGGAGUUUCUGCCACAGAGGGAAGGCCAAAACUUUGGUUUUCUUAAUUGGUUGAAUCUUGAAUGCAUCACAUGCCUCCUGCUGAAGAGAGAAAACCCAGAAACGGCUUUGAGAGCUACAAAGGAACGCCUGUAUUUUUUGUGUUAAUAUUGCCAAUAAUGGUGGAUGGAUCUAGCUGGUAUUUCUAGUUUCUUUUUCAAGAAUACGCUCAGGUCAUCACACAGGUCAUUUAUUUGCACCAGCUGGUUGGUGCACUGCCCCUUCUCUCGAAAUGUGCUUUCAAAAUUCAAACACCUCAUUAAGUGUACAUUUUGAUAUACUAAAGUGCAUAUCAGCAGGAAAAACACAAAUCAUCGCUGGCAUGUCCUUAAGAACUCUGGACUUUUUGGGAGAUUAGAGGAGCAUAUUUUCAGAAUUAGCACAGAUUAGCACAGUCCUCAUGGUGAGAACAACAUAUCCCAAAUUGCCAAUAAAAAUACUACACAGAUUAGCACAAGCACACUGCAGAACGGAGAAGAGAAUGGUGUGAACAAGACUGUGCUUGGUUUGCGUGUGAGAAAAACGGAAGAGCAUUGACUUUCUGGGAGCCAAGUGGCUGAGCUUGAUUUCUCGGAACCAACCACAACUAUCUAAUUUUGCAACAUCUCGGCACUGGGCAUUCUUCCUGAGCUGACAUGAAAUAAGGCAGCUAGCACUGCAUACCAACAGCUCGGGGUAUCUUCAUUUCUUUGCAAGUAUAUCAUUAUAUAAUGUAUGUUAGAUCCAAUGCAGUUUUUCAAAAGUGACAAUGCAUUGGAUGUGAACUCAGCAAACGGUAAGAAUUUCUUUCCAUGUACAAGAAGCUGCAGGAAUGCAAAUUAAACAAUUACCUCCACCGACGGGUGACAACAGACAUACAGUGCACCUACAAAACACAAUCCAUCUCUAAUUAACGCAUAACAUGCUUCCUGCUGAAGAUAGAAGACCCGGAGGCAAGUGGUUAUUUUCUUGUCCAUUUCUAAUGACACCUCUAAUUAACAUUGCAGGGGGCAGGAUCGAUCUCAAAGAGUAGCAUAAUCAGCUGCAGAUGAUUAUCACUUGUUCAUAUGGGCAAAUGAUAUACUUAACAUACGGAUAUGAUAAGACACAACUAGACAAUCUCCUAUUAUUUGACGAUGGAAGAUAUGUACGAGUAUACGAUACAAUUUGAUGAACCUAUUAGGUUCCAUUACUGUGAGACAGUGAAAACCAGAAUAAAGGGCUGUAUGGAGUUUUUUUAUCAGCCUAACGGGGUCGGCUUAAGUAACUAAAAUAAGAUGAAGCCUAACUUUUCAACCAUACAAGCAACAAAGUUAAAGACAGUGAGCUAAAACAAUAGUCGCGUAUACCUUAAAAGAUAAAUUCCCAGUGCCUUUUUAUUGAUCAUCACUGCGUAUGGCCAUAUAAUUUGCUAUUAGAUCAUCAUUAUAUUAUAUAUUUACGUCGGUAGUCGGUACAUACAAUGCAGUUUAUCAAAAGUGACAAUGCAUCCGCUGUGACCAAAGCAAAUAGUACAAAUUUUAUUUCCAAUUACCGAAGGUCGAGGAGUGCAAAUUAAACAAUUACCUCCACCGACGGGUGACAGCACACAUACAGUACACCUACAAAAUACAAUUCAUCUCGAGGACCACAAUAUUGGUUUUCGUGAAUUAUUGAAACUUGAAUGCAUCACAUGCUUUCUGCUGAUGAGAGAAGACCCGGGGGCAAGUGGUUAUUUUCUUGUCUUUUAUAAUGACACCUCUAAUUAACAUUGAAGGGACAGGAUCGGCUCUCAAAGAUAAGAAUAAUCAGCUGGCAGAUGAUUAUCUCUUGUGCAUAUGGACAGAUGAUAUAUACUUUUGUACUGAUAUGCUAAUUCAUGUUUUUCGACAAUGAAUGAUAUGUAUGAGUAUGAGAUACAAUUUUGACGAGCUUAAUAGGUUCUAUUAUUGUGAGGCAGGAACUUAUGGAGUUCUUAUUAUCAACUUAAUGAGAUCCGCUCAUAACCAACUAAAAUCAGAUGAAACCCAACCUUUUAACCAUACAACGGAGGCAGCAGAAAUAAAGAUAGAGAGCUUAACGAGAUCCGCUUAACUAACUAAAAUCAGAUGAAACCUAACUUUUUAACCAUACAAUGGAAGACAAGGGCAGUGCAGAAUGGAGAAAAGAAUGGUGAAAACACAAAUGCGGUGCAGAAUGGAGAAGAGAAUGGUGAGAGCAAGAUGUGCUUGCCUGUAAGGAAAAUGGAAGCCAACGUGAGUGUUGACUUUCUGUGAGCCAAGUGGAUGAGUUUGAUUUUCAGUAACCAAUCAGAACUAUCCACUCUUGCAACAGCUCAGCAUUAGCUGGGCAUUCUUUUUGGGAACACCACGUUAACAGCUGGGCAUAUCUUCAUUUCUUAAUAAGGCACAGCGACAAAGACAACCAGAAUAUUGCAAGUAGAUCAUUAUAUUAGGUAUUUAUAUGCCAGUACAUUGCUUGGCUGUGAACUUAGCAAAUACGAUUUUCUUUUUGCAAAUAUACAAAAGGUCACAGGAAUGCAAAUCUAAAAAUUACCUCAACUGACUAGACGUGUGACAGGAUACCUACUUGUGCAAAACACAAUUCAUCUUAGAGUUGCUGCCAAGGAGGGAGGGCCGGAGUAUUGGUUUUCUUGAUUGGUUGAAUCUUGAAUGCAUCACAUGCUUCGAUUCCCGCUGAAGAGAGAAGACCCAGAAAUGGCUUUUAGAGCCCGGAAGCAACGCCUGUAUUUUUUUUAUAUUGGCAAUAAUGGUGGAUGGAUCUAGCUGGUAUUUCGGGUUUCUUUUUCAGAAUACGCUCAGGUCGUCUCACAGGUCAUUUAUUUGCCCCAGCUGGUUGGUGCACUGUCCCUCUCUCUAAAUGUGACUUCAAAAUUAAAACAUCUAAUUAAGUGUACAUUUUGAUAUACCAAAGUGCAUAUCAGCAGGAAAAACACAAAUCAGCACUGGCAUGUUCUUAAGAACUCUGACCCUUUUGGGUUUUGUACAUAAUAUUGUGGGAGACUAGGGGAAGCAUAUUUUCAGAAUUAGCACAGAUUAGCACAGUAGUAAUUUACGUCAGUACAUAGAAUUUCUGAGCAAGCACAGUGCAGAAUGGAGAAGAGAAUGGUGUGAGCAAGCCAUGUUUGGCUUGCGUGUAAGGAAAAUGGAAGCCAGAAUGAGCAUUGACUUUCUGGGAGCCAAGUGGACGAGCUUGAUUUCUGGGAACCAAUCACAAACUAUCCGAUCUUGCAUACCGUAUUAGCUGGUGACAGCACUGGGUACCUUCAUUUCUUAAUAGGCAAAAGCUUGACAAACCCUCUUAUUGCAAGUCAGAAUGAAGAUUUCUCAUUCUUAAUAUCGCAAGUAGGUCAUUAUAUUACGUAUUUACGUCAGUACAUCCAAUGCAGUUUUUCAGAAAUGACCAUGCAUUGGCUGUGAACUCGGAAAAUAGUAAGAAUUUUCUUUCCAAAUACAAGAAGUCGCAGGAAUGCAAAUUAAACAAUUACCUCAACUGACGGGUGACAGCACGCAUACAUUGCACCUACCAAAUACUACCUCCGUUCCAUAAUAUAAGAGUGUUUUUUACACUAUUGUAGUGUCAAAAACGCUCUUGUAUUAUGGGACGGAGGGAGUACAAUUCAUCUCGAGGACAACGACAUUGGUUUUAGUGAAUUCAUUGAAACAUGAAUGCAUCACAUGCUUUCUGCGGACGAGAGAAAACCCGGGGGCAAGUGGUUAUUUUCUUACCUUUUUUAAUGACACCUAUAAUUAACAUUGAGUUAACUGGGCAAUUCUCUUCUCCUUAAUUAAUCGAUGAGGCAAAUCUUUUGCCUCCGUUUCGAAAAAAUAAUAAUAAUUAACAUUGAGUACAGGAUCGGAUCUCAAAGAUAAGAAUAAUCGGCUGGCAGAUGAUUAUCUCUUCUGUAUGUGGACAAAUGAUAUAUACUUUUGUACUGAUAUGAUAAUUUACGUUAUUCAAUGAUGAAAGGUAUGUAUGAUUAUGAGAUACAACUUCGACGAGCUUAAUAGGUUCUGUUAUUUUGAGGCAGUGAAGACCAGAAUAAAGGACUGUAUGGAGUUCUUGUCCUUUAUUAACAAGGUCCGCUUAACAAACUAAAAUCAGAUGAAACCUAACUUUUUAAUCAUACAAUGGAGGCAGCAAAAAUAAAGAUAAAGAGCUUAACGAGAUCCGCUUAUAACUAACUAAAAAUCAGCUGAAACCUAACUUUUUAACCAUACAACGGAGGCAGCAAAAAUAAAUACAGAGAGCUAAAAAAAUAGUGACGUAUACAUUAGAAGAUAAAUUCCAGUGCCCUUUUAUUGAUCAUCACUGCCUAUGGCCAUAUAAUUUGCUAUUAGAUCAUCAUGAUAUUAAUAUAUUUAUGUCGGUACAUCCAAUGCAGUUUUUCAAAAGUGAAGAUACAUUGCCCGUGAACUCAGCAAAUAGGAGUGUUCUUUCCAGAUACAAGAAGUUGCAGCAAUGCAAGCUAAACAAUUACCUCCACUGCUGGGUGACCACAGGGAGGACCACAAUAUUGGUUUUCGUGAAUCUUGAAUGCAUCACAUGCUUCCUGCUGAAGAGAGAAGACCCGGUGGCAAGUGAUUAAUUUUUCUUGUCCUUUAUUAAUGACACCUCUAACUAACAUUGAAGGGGCAUGAUCGAGCUCAGAGAUUAGCAUAAUAAGCUGGCAGAUGACCAUCCCUUGCUCAUAUGGACAAAGGAUACACUUAAUAUACUGAUAUGAUAAAAACACAGCUUGACAAUCUCCUGUUAUUCGAAGAUGAAAGAUAUGUAUGAGUAUGCGAUACAAUUUGUGGGUUUUCUUUAUUUUUGAGACAUACAAUUUGGUGAGCUUAAUAUGUUCCGUUAUUGUGAGACAUUGAAAAGCGGAAUAAAGGGCCAUGUGGAAUUCUUUUUAUCAGAUUAACGAGAUCGUCUUCACUAACUAAAAUCAGAUGAAGCCUAACUUUGCAACCAUACAACGGAAGCAACAAAAAUACAGACAGAGACCUCGAACAACAGUGGCCAUAUGAAUGAGAUCUGGGACUCGGCCAUAUGAACAACAGUGAAGAUAAAUUCCAGUGUCCUUUUAUUGAUCGCUGCCUAUGCCCAUAUAAAUGAGAUCUGGGACUCAGCCCGCUCCAACAUGGCUCUAGAAAGCACAUUUCCUCUGACGCACAUAUGAAAUACGACAGUACAAAACAGAACAAACACUGAGAUUAUAAUUAUACAGAUGACUGGAUGCUGUAACUAACUUGGAUAUCGCUGCACCGAAGACGGACUUUCUUCUCAGACAUCAGAGAGAAACGGAAUGUCCAUGCCAACUGCUUCUCCUCGACUCCACCUGCACAGCGCGCAUAGGCGGAAAUUUGAUGAUUAUUUGAAGUGACAUACACAUAAAGCACAGAGUUACUCAGCUAACAAAGCACGUAUGUACAUCGCUGUCAGGCUGAAUCCUGCUUCCUGACAAUCGGAAUUCAUGUGAAUCGAAUCGCUGGAAGAGACGGACAGACAGGAUCGAUACCUUGUGUCCACGGCGAGGCCUGAGUGGCUGCCGUCGACGUACGACCCGCAACCGACGGAGGAGCUCCGGGACCUUCUUGUCGAGACCAUCUGCAAUGGAAGUAAAAAAGAGCUGUUAGAAGAGGAUCCGAAAGAGGUUGAUGGUAGGAAGGAAUGGGAAGGGGAACGAGUGGGUGCCUCGAGCGGCCGCGGUGGUGGUGGGCGGGCGGAUGCGGAGGGUGGGAGGGAGGCUGACACCUCCGCCGCCACAGACGUACGUGGAGCGGCCGCGGGCGGUGGGAUCCGGGAGAGGCUGCGGCGGCGAGCGGUCCGGCCGGCGAGGAGGACGGGGAAGGGAGAGACGAAGACGACGCAGAUCGGCGGAAUGUGGGCUGGGCUUGUGACUUUGAGGCCUCCGAAAACUAUAGCCCAGUUCGAAUUGGUGCCCUAACACACACAACACUUACGUUGGGCCUAAUCGCUCGCUCCUGCCCCUGCUCAAAAUUUUUUUUGCUCCAGGCUGGGGGCCUCUGUUCCACCCCCAUCUAUCGCUCCACCUCCAAACAAAAAAAAAAUCUAUCACUCCACCUCCACUCCAAAAAUAUAAAAUUCUAUCAAUCCACCUACGCCUCGAAAAAAGAAAUCUAUCACUCCACCUCAGCAUUGAUGUCUCUAGCUUGUAGAAACUGCCAUCCUUUACAUGUAAAACGGAUUCGAUGAGUCAUGUCAUGCUCUAUAGACGUCAGUUCAUCUUAUCAUCUUACAGGAAAGUACAAAGUUAGUUUUCUGAAAAGCAACCGAAUAUAGAAGAACACUCCACACUCAAGGCUUUACUAAUCGAGCAUAUCCUAACAGCCCACACAUGAUUGCAAACUUAGUCAUACACAAGUUUUGCCUUUCUUGUUUACGGCUGACAGCCUAUACAAGGUUCCAAACUCGGUUGUAAAAGUGAUACUAUCUUGAUAAGUGUGUGACAUGUAAAGUUAAUAAGGUGAGUCAUAUAUAGCAAAUAUCGGGGUUUCUGUACUUUGUGUGUGAUCGUAUGCACAACUAAAAAUCAACUUUGAUGAUCAAUAUAUCCAAAAGUACGCUUGUAGCUAGUGCAAACCUAACCCAAUGUAACAAAAUAAUUCAUUUCAGAUGGAGCCAAACAGAAUUAUUAAAGCUGAUGCAAAGAAGGAAAAGAGGUGGUUCCUGGGCUACUAUAAAUAGGCAUGAAGUAUAAAGAUCAUCACAAGCACAAGCAUCAGAACCAAGCAACACUAGUUAACACCAAUCCACCAUGAAGACCUUCCUCGUCUUUGCCCUCCUCGCCGUUGCGGCGACAAGUGCAAUUGCGCAGAUGGAGACUAGAUGCAUCCCUGGUUUGGAGAGACCAUGGCAGCAGCAACCAUUACCACCACAACAGACAUUUCCACAACAACCACUAUUUUCACAACAACAACAACAACAACUAUUUCCUCAACAACCAUCAUUUUCGCAGCAACAACCACCAUUUUGGCAGCAACAACCACCAUUUUCUCAGCAACAACCAAUUCUACCACAGCAACCACCAUUUUCGCAGCAACAACAACUAGUUCUACCGCAACAACCACCAUUUUCACAGCAACAACAACCAGUUUUACCUCCACAACAAUCACCUUUUCCACAACAACAACAACAACACCAACAGCUGGUGCAACAACAAAUCCCUGUUGUUCAGCCAUCCAUUUUGCAGCAGCUAAACCCAUGCAAGGUAUUCCUCCAGCAGCAGUGCAGCCCUGUGGCAAUGCCACAACGUCUUGCUAGGUCGCAAAUGUUGCAGCAGAGCAGUUGCCAUGUGAUGCAACAACAAUGUUGCCAGCAGUUGCCGCAAAUCCCCCAGCAAUCCCGCUAUGAGGCAAUCCGUGCUAUCAUCUACUCCAUCAUCCUGCAAGAACAACAACAGGUUCAGGGUUCCAUCCAAUCUCAGCAGCAGCAACCCCAACAGUUGGGCCAAUGUGUUUCCCAACCCCAACAGCAGUCGCAGCAGCAACUCGGGCAACAACCUCAACAACAACAAUUGGCACAGGGUACCUUUUUGCAGCCACACCAGAUAGCUCAGCUUGAGGUGAUGACUUCCAUUGCGCUCCGUAUCCUGCCAACGAUGUGCAGUGUUAAUGUGCCGUUGUACAGAACCACCACUAGUGUGCCAUUCGGCGUUGGCACCGGAGUUGGUGCCUACUGAUAAGGAAAGAUCUCUAGUAAUAUAUAAUUGGGUCACCGUUGUUUAGUCGAUGGAUAUGUCGAUGCAGCGGUGACAAAUAAAGUGUCACACAAUGUCAUGUGUGACCCGCCCAAACUAGUUGUUUAAAUUCUGAAAUAAAAUAAAAAUAAAGUUGUAUCAAGACAAUGUUCAUAUUGGCAUUGUGUGGAUGUCAAUCUGAUUGCCAUGCUUGCAAGUUCAUAAGUUUGUCUUUCCUUGUCACAAGCGCAACCUGGUGCCUUAAUUAAUUAUCAAUGUACUGGAAUAAUCACUAUUUAAAUAUAAUAGUGUCACUGUAAAAUUUGGGUUGAACUCUUUAUUGGUUGGAGAUUUGAGAUCUUGUUUUUUAUUGGUUUGUAUCUAGUACCAACUAGUACCACUGUCUACAGUGACAAUCACAACCAGUUUUGUUGCUAAUUAUGUUUGCUUUCUUGCAAAUACAUUCAUUGAUUCUUUGCAUGUCAAAUUAUUUGCCGAGAAAAAUACCAGCUUUUUCUUGAACUUCACAAACACCACUAGCUAGUUAAUUUGAAAUAAGCUGCCAAUUUAUUUCCUUGUAUUUAUGCCCUUUACAUCGAACCAGUACAAUCAUUGUGCUAGCUAGAGAAAAGGAGUUGCUGGCACGUUCAUGUCUAGAACUAAAUCAGACUGAAUUGAACUUGUUCUUUACAACUAGCUAGGAGCAGAAAACUUACUGUGAAUUGCACUUGAUUAUAUUUGAUUUUGUUUAAGAGCUACAGGGAAAAAUCAUCAAAAAAUGCCCUAAAAUAUCUUAUCGUAAAAUAGGUUCACCAGGAGAUACAGUCGCAAGAAAAAAAAGGCUCACCAGGAGAUAGAUGCUGCACAUUAUCAUUUAGAAAUUAGACCAAGAGAAAUGUGGAUUUGGCGGCUCAUAAUUCUAUAAGACUAUAACAGGUUGUCCAAUCAUUUAGAAAUUAGAUCAAGAAAAUGUGGAACUAAACAUAUUAAUGGCUAGGAUCAUAUUUGCACUGUGGGAACUUGGUAUGCGCGCUCCAACAUGCCCGUUGAAAGCAUUUUUUCCUCUGAUGCACAUAUGAAAUAUGACUGGUCGAAAACAGAAGAAACAGUGAGAUAAUAUGGAUGCUUGGAUGUUGUAACAAACAUAAACUUAUUAUAUAUAUAUCCAAUCCACCGAGCGGACGAACAUCCUAGGAGCUUUUCUCUCGGAGAUCGAAAAGAAACGAAAUGUCCACGCCAACUGCUUCUUCUCCAUCUGUAUAACGCGUGUAGGAGAAUUAUUUUGAUGAUUAUUUGAAGUGGCAUCCACAUAGAGUACAAAGCUAUUCAGCUAGAAAAGCCACAAAUGUACAUCACUUUUAGCCUACAUGACUGAACUCUGCUCCAUGACCUUCUUGAUUCAUGCGGCUCCUGAAUUCAUGUGAAUCGAAUCGCGGAAGAGAUAGGCUUUCAGGGUCAAUACCUCAUGUUCAUGGGAAGGCCGGAGAGGCUGCGUCGAUGUGCAGCCUGAACCCGAGGAGGAGCUCCGUGUCGGUGUCAAAACCGGCGGAUCUCGGGUAGGGGUCCCGAAUUGUGCGUCUAGGAUCGAUGGUAACAGGAGACGGGGGACACGAUGUUUACCCAGGUUCGGGCCCUCUCUAUGGAGGUAAUACCCUACUUCCUGCUUGAUUGAUCUUGAUGAAUAUGGGUGUUACAAGAGUUGAUCUACCAUGAGAUCGUAAUGGCUAAACCCUAGAAGUCUAGCCUAUGUGUAUACGGUAAUGAAUGUCCCCUAUCCGGACUAUGCUCUCCGGUUUAUAUAAACACCGGAGAGAUCUAGGGUUACAUGGAGUCGGUUACAUAAGAAGGAAUCUUCACAGCUGGUCACCUAGCUUGCGUUCCACGCCAAGGGAAGUCCAAUCCGUACACGGGUGUAGUCUUCGGCCUUCGUAUCUUCACAGCCCAUCAGUCCGGCCCAAUGAAUAAUAGGCCGGACGCCCGAGGACCCCUUAGUCCAGGACUCCCUCAGUAGCCCCUGAACCUGGCUUCAAUGACGAGGAGUCUGGCGCGCAGAUUGUCUUCGGCAUUGCAAGGUGGGUUCCCUCCUUCCGAAUUCCGGAAUAGUCUUCGGAUGCAGUAGAUAUAUUUGGACCUGUGUAUAUAAUUGCAAAAAAUACAAUAUUCCACGAGUCUAAUUUGUUGAUAACUGUUUACAACAUCGCAUCACGCCUGCCCGGUUACUAUUUCCAACCGUUGGCUGGCACGUCGCCCCACGUCUCGGGACGCGGUUUUACUGGCACGUCUUGCCAAGGCAGAGAUCGUGUUCCCUUAUUCACGGGACUUUCAUUAAUGCAAGCGUGGGUAACCCAACCGUCCCCUGGGUACAACUCUCUGGGGAUAGGUAAGUUUCGAGACCCAGGUGGAUACCCUUAGUAUUUGGGGUCUUUAUAUAGGGCCCCAGACUCGUCUUCUUCCUUUGCGCUUGCUUCUUCCUCAACCCUAGCCACCCCAAGUUCCAACCCUCGGGUUCCCAUCGCCACCAGCCCUAAUCAUGUCCGAAUCCAGCCGUCAAGGCCGGUGGGUGGCUUCUUCUAUCACAGAGGAGGAUAUUGCAAAGCUCUGCGCAGUGAGGUAUCUGACCCCGGAAAUCCUUCAUCAGCUUCCUGCACAGGGGCAGGUCGUUCCUACCCCCAAAUCCGGCGAGAGGGUAGUGUUUGUGUCCCACUUCCUCCAUGGGUUAGGUUUCGCGCUUAACCCCUUCGUCCGGGGGCUCAUGUUCUACUAUGGGCUAGACUUUCACGAUCUAGCCCCGGACUCUAUUCUUCUCAUCUCGACAUUUAUCGUCACGUGUGAGGCCUUCCUUCGGACUCCUCCGCACUUUGGUUUGUGGCUCAAGACCUUUGAUGUGAGGCCGCAGGUGACAGAGGAGGAGCAGGCAGAGUGUGGCAGCGUCACAAUAGGCAAGCUUGCCAGCGCGGUUUGGUUUGAAGGAUCUUUCACCAAGUCUUCCGACCUAUGGCAGCACGGGUGGUUUUAUAUCAACGAGCCGCGGGGCUCCAAGUGGGAGGCUACGCCUGCGUUCCGACCCGGCCCUCCAAUUCAGCUCGCUUCAUGGAUCAAUAAGGGACUGGACUGGGGAUCCGUCAAUGAAAUGCAGACUCUGCAAGGUCGCAUCCGAAGCCUUACCAAGAAGGGCAUCGGUCUUGUGAACGUCGUUCAAGUAAUGCUAGUCCGCCGGACCCUGCCAUGUCAGCGGCGGCCUCUCCGUAUGUGGGAGUUUAAUUCAGAAGGGCAGCGGCCUCUUCAGCACUUCUUCGGCACCACGCACGAAGGAAUGUGGAAAUUAUAUUUCGGGGAACGAGAGCAAUGGCCGGACACCACCGAAGAUGUCGGCCUUGACUGCAAUCAUCCAGACACCGCGGUAAGUACUCAAACGCUGAACACAUUCAAGCAUCUCUUGACAACAUACUGAACAAUCCGUCCCUAUACAGGACUGGAUAAAGAAAGCAGUGUUAAUCUGGUGUCCGGCGCCCCUUCCCGAAGACUCUGCGACCGCCCUGCUGACGAGAAUGCUGAUUCCCACACCGUACCAGGUUUCUGCGGAGGAGGGCGAGAGCGGGGAACCCGAAGGUGAUACCCGCCCUGAGGACGAAUUAGACAUUGUGUUCGGGGAAACCGAAACUCUUUUGCCCAAGGGCAAAGGUGCGGAGGAAGCUCUCCAUGGCAAAAAGAGGGCUGCUUCCGAAGAUCAGGAGGGGAAGCCUUCCAAGAGAGGAAAAAUGCCAUCGUCGGGCAGUUUGGGCCGGCCAAGCGAUGCUGCCGUAAGGCUUUCUGGCGAGGACGAACCUCUGGCCAAACCGUAAGUGAGGCUGGGGCACUUUAAACAUACCUCAUUCUUUUCCUAUUAGUGAAGUAAUCAUCCGACAUAUGCACAUCCACGUAGGUUAACGCCUGGUGUUUCUCAAUCAUCCUCCUCCUCGGGAGACCUUCUUCCGGAGAUGAUGGAGAGUGACACGCCAUCUCCGGCUUCUUCGCGCAACAGGGGGGAUGAUACCGAGGUAUCGUCCCGAAGGGCUCCUCCCCAUCGUCAAGCGGUGCAGGAAACGGAGAAGGCGUUACCCGAAGGUGGUGCCUCUGUCACCCAGGGUUCGGGAAUCAAGAAUGACGGCCCCGAACCAUCCGGUUUACAGCCGGAGAUGAUUCUGGGGGAGAAUAAGCAGAUUAAUUCAAAGGAAUGCCGUACUCCGGCGGCGGUUUCCGAAGACCCCGGAGCGCCGGAAAUGUUGACGGACAUGCUGCGGCGAGCGUCCAUUUCAGAGAAGCACCAUGCCUUGAUGGUUACGGUGGUCGAAAAGGUUCUAUCCGCGAAAAGCGGAUUGAACGAGGCCUUCUGGAGCCUUCUAAGAGGUUUUGAGGUUUGUGAUGUAGUUUUGCCAAUUGAAUGAUUUUGACAGAAUGCACUUGUUGUAUAUGCAGUAGCCCCUGAGACUCGGAUUGCCUUCCGAAGGAAGCGAUCGGAGGAUAAAAAAGAUAUGCUCAGUUACUAACCUUGAAUCAACUUGGAAUACAGGCUGCCUCGCCUCCUGCGGCUACCCGAAAUACGGAAGUGGCCGAACUGCAGCGAAAGCUGAAUAUUGCAGAAGAUGACAUUGCAUUGAUCAACAAGCGUCUUGACGACUCGCAAGGUAUAUAGUUCGAGCAUUCCUUACACGAAUGUUCUUGUAAUGUAGGCCUGACGCCGAAAAGGGUUUAAUGUGCAUGAUUGCAGAUGGUGUUCCCUCCGUUGAAGCUCCUUGUGAGGAGCUAGCCCGGCCCAAGGAGCAGGCCCGGUGUAGUGAUGCGGCUGCCGAGAAGGCAUCGGCUGAUCUAAGAGCCGAAUAAGCAGCUCGGCGCCGAAGUGAGGAGAAAAUAUCCGCACUGGCGCUUGAAUUGAAGAAUACUGCCAGCCACUGUGAAUUCCUUGAGAAGGAGAAUAAAGCCAAAAUGGCUGAACUUGAUAAGGCCGUUCGAGAGGCGAGUGAAGCUCGGUCUGAAUCUAGGGCAGCUUGGGAAGAGAUUCGGCAGGCUAAGGAGAUAGCGGCCGGUAAGCCCUUUUUGCUUCAGACUAAGUUUGGCGAUCCGGACUAUGCUCAGCUAAACCAGGUCUGGAGUUCUCCGACUGAAUUUUUGGACUUGCCGAAGAGUUCUUCCAAUGCAGCGCAAUUUUACCAAGCGCAAGAGGGGUAUGCGAUGGAGAAGCUUUUCUGGUCACAAUUUGGCGCCUCAAAGCGCCCUCUGUUGCUAAAUGAACAGAUGUCCCAGUGGGCCGAGCUUCAUAGGAUAUCCGGCGACGCCAUGAAGAACGUCAUAAUCCGGUUGUGGCCGAGUGAGCCUGUUCCCAAGAGCUAUUUUGGCCUGGUGCGGCGUCUUGUUGAUGCUGUGCCGCGUAUCGAUGCUGCGAAGCGGUCGGCAUGCACUGAGGGUGCACGGAUGGCCUUUGCCCGAGUCAAGACGUUCUGGGGGAAGAUGAAGGCCAUCGAUGUUGCGGCGAAGGGUCCGCCCAAGGGCAAGGACCGUAAUGAGCCGGAGCAUUAUUUUGAAGACGUCCUAGAAGCCGCCCGCCUGAUAGAGGGUCAAUGCUCGAAGAACAUAAUGUUCGAGUGAGGUGUAUUAGAAUUGUAAAAGACAAUUUUAUGAUUGAUCUAUUUUAUAUUUUUGCUCCAAAGCUUGAAUUCCUCCUCUGCGGCCGUUUUAAUAUAAUAUGAAAGUUUUCCAGUCGUCGGCUUCAGCCCCCUCGUAGGAAGUACGGGGGUGUUCGAAAAAACAUUUAAUCACUCUUUGUCCAAUGUCUUGGUCCGUAAAGGAGGUGAUAAUGCAGCGAACCAGGCAAUCGGACUAUAAGGCGUUAACACUUUCACUUAGCCAUAGGAGUUUUAUGGUGGGGCUACGACAUUGCCCCUGGUGUGUAUGCGGCGUAUAAUGCCUUGCAUAUUUGAUCUGAAAAAGAUCCCUCGUAUGACACGGAGAAUCGCUAAGGAUUCCAAGAAGUCGUCAAGUGGUUAAUCAGCUCUCGCCGCAUCAUGACAGUCAGUUUUCGGCUUUCUCUACUGAGGUGCUCGUCCGGUUUAGAACAGGGCACAAUCGCAGUAGUUCUCCCUUUACUACCCUAGCCGAUAGAGCGGAACGUAGGGUAGCAAGCACAGGAGCCGGGCAACCCAACUAUUGACCCAAGACAAUGAUUCGGAGCUGAUGCAUAUAAGGCCAAACUUGCGACGCCCAAGUACGCUAUAGAGUUGUUGGGACUUUUGCUGGCAACUCUUUCGUUCCCAUACCGAGCCCCUGGCAGGGUAUGCCGAGGUGUAUCUGUAACGCAGCCAUUGAGGCCGUACUCAUUGUUGCAAGAGUAUGAAAGAUUAGUUCGGACGAGGUUUACUGGGAACGGAGCAAUAUGCCAAUGACGAAUUUAAAAAUAAUAAAAAAGAAACCACAAGCCCGGCUAUUUGACAUGCUCGGGGUCGGGUACAGAGGAAAAAAAGGCUUAAUACAGGCUCGGAAUAAAGAGUGUGGUCUACAAAAAGUUAUUUUGGACCUCCUGUCGCACGUCUGCGCCGCCCGUCCUCGGGGAGGGGAAUCCUUAAGGGAAGUAGCCCCUUAGGUGAGUGUACGGAUCCGAACUCCGAUAGAGUCCGUUGUAGAUGCUGUCAUGUUGGUCACCUGUUCUUAAGAAAUGAUACAGAAAAAUAAGAAAAACGGAUAAGAACGUUACAGGGAUUCUUGCAGGCUUGUCCAUAUUGUGCUUCCGCCGAUGCCCAUGGUAUCUUGAGUGCGUAGUGAUGUAUGCGUGGUGUGAAUCUCGCCGGUAUGGUAGGUGGGUGGCGGAUGCCGAACUGCUAUUUCUGUUCCGAGAGUGGUCGAACUUCGGAGGGAAACUGCUUCUGGCCCCUGAUAUUCGGCUGGCGAAACGCUCCGUUGUCUUUAUCGCCUGGUGGCCUCCUCCCCUUGCUAUCGGCGUUGAGCUUGCCUGCCUGCUUGAGGACCCAACAAUUUCUGUUAGUAUGGUUAGCUGGCUUAUCAGGAUGACCAUGAAUCUGACAAGGUCGGUCCAAUAUUCUGUCAAGGGUGGAUGAUCCAUCCUGGUUUGCCUUUAGUGGCUUCUUCCAUUGACCGGGUUUCGAAUUGUGAAAUUCGGCGUUGACCGCUGUGUCGCGUAAUCCUUCAGUAUUAUUGCGACUGUUGUGUUCGGUUCGUCGAGGCUUACCGUUGCCGUCUUGAAUUUCGGAAGUGCCCGGGUCACUGGCGUUGUUGCUCUUACGAGCGAGCCAGGUGUCUUCUCCCGCACAAAAGCGAGUCAUCAGAGCGGUAAGGGCUAUCAUGGAUUUGGGUCCUUCCUGGCCGAGGUGACGCGCUAGCCAUUCAUCCCGGAUGCCAUGUUUGAAGGCUGCGAGGGCUUCUGCGUCCGGACAGUCGACAAUAUGUUUUUUUUUUUGACUAAGAACCUAGUCCAGAGCUCCCUGGCGGACUCGCCGGGCUUCUGGACAAUAUGACCAAAGUCAUCAGCAUCUAGUGGCCGGACAUAUGUUCCCUGGAAGUUGUCUCGAAAGGCGUCUUCCAAGUCUUCCCAGCUACCAAUAGAAUUUUCUGGUAAACUGUUUAGCCAGUACCGGGCUAGCCCUUUAAGCUUGAGAGGUAUGUAUUUAAUGGCAUGAAGGUCGUCUCCGCGAGCCAUGUGGAUAUAUAUGGAGGAGGUAAUCCUCAAUCCAUACCGCGGGAUCUGUUGUUCCAUCGUAUGAUUCGAUAUUAAUGGGUUUAAACCCGUCUGGAAAUUCAUGCUCCAUUACCUCGUCGGUGAAGCAAAGAGGGUGUGCGGCUCCUCUAUGUUGAGCCACACUAUGAAGCACCUCCGGCGGACUCUGUUUACGGAGUUCGGAUCGAGCGUGGUCGGCUCUGUUGUGUCCGAAUAGGUGACCAUCAUUACGGUCGGGGCAUGUCCCCGCGAUCUGUGUAUUGACUUCGUGUGUCAUGUUCUACCCUCCAGGUCCUUGGAUGUCGCGAGUGUUCCCCCGAGCUGUGUUGUUCUUGUUUUGAUGGCCGGAUGGGUUGGUAUGAUGCUCUGCUUGGGCUACUGCUUUGUCCGGACCGAACUGUGGUCGGCCUACAUCCUUAUUCGAUGGUGGUGUGGGCUUCAACGCCCUGCCAUCGUAUUGAGGGGGCCACCUGCUGUUGGGGUGGCUCUUGUCUGGGCCAAUAAGGCCGUAUUGUUCGGCGGCCAAGACCUCGGUCCAUCUAUCAUUGAGCAAAUCUUGGCUCGCUUUAAGCUGCAGCUGCUUCUUUCUUAGGCUCCUUGCAGUGGCUAUGAGCUGGCGUUUAAAGUGCUCCUGCUCGAGAGGUUCCUUAGGCACGAUAAAAUCCUUGUUGUCGAGGAUCUCCUCUUCCUCGGAGAGUGGGAGAUAAUUGCUAUCCUCUGAGUCUCCAUAUGUUACCUGUUCAUCAGGGUUGUCUUGCCCGCCUUCCUGUUCCUCCUGUUCGGAUCCUACCUCAACAGGGUCUUCAUCGUCCGGAGUGUUGUCUUCUCCGGUGCAAGUGUUAUUUUCUCUUGAGCGUCGUGACUUGGAGCGGCGCAAGGCGCGCCGGUGUUCGGACUAUGCACCAGGAGGCUUAUCCUCAAUUGGAUCCUCCUUGUCAUCGUCGAAAGCAUCGUUGGGUGUGUCUAUCAUACACACGUCAUACCAUGAAGUGGUCAUCCCGCGUCUAGCGGGUAGUGAGUUCUGGCCUUGCCCCUCAUCGUCGUCCGUACCGUCGAUGUCUUCAGGGCCGAGGUCAAGCGUGUUGGUUGGGUCUUCGACAGUGGCUAUGAAGUGGGUGGUGGGUGGGAAGCAAAAUUCUCCAUCAUCAGCCGUAAGUUCGAGCCGAACAUAGUUCAGUGGCGAGUCGCCUACCAGAGAUAGGUUUUUUAGUGAGUUUAGUACAUCGCCCAUGGGCGAGUGUUGGAAGACGUCUGCGGCGCUGAACUUGAAGAUCGAUAACCGAUCGAGUUCGGCAUCUGCAGACUCGCAAGGUUCGGAACCUGUCGCCGGGGACGAAUCCGGGGUUCCGCUGAUGCGGAUAUCAUACGCAGUAGAAUCUGUGUGCGGCUCGAACGCCGCCGAAUCGGUAGCCCUCGUGAUGGGGUUGAGCUUCCCAUCCCGGGACGACUUGAUCUGCUCCGGAUCUAAGGCCAGAGUUGCUGUAGGAGCUAUCUCCUCGAUGCGGCCCAAUGACAGGUUUAAGCCAUGUCCAUCGAGGCGGCGGGAGCGAUUGCCGCGGUCUUGAAUCCGUCGAAGAUCAAGUCUCCACGGACGUCCCCAACGUAGUUCAAGCUUCCGAAUCUGACCUGAUGGCCAGGGGCGUAGCUGUCGAUCUGCUCCAGAUGGCCAAGCGAGUUGGCCCGCAGUACGAUGCCACCGAACACGAAGAUCUGUCCGGGGAAAAAGGUUUCUCCCUGGACAACGUCACCAUCGACGAUUGAAGGGGCCAUCGAACCUUUUGUCGACGGCACAGUGGAACUCUCAAUGAAAGCACCAAUGUCGGUGUCAAAACCGGCGGAUCUCGGGUAGGGGGUCCCGAACUGUGCUUCUAGGAUCGAUGGUAACAGGAGACGGGGGACACGAUGUUUACCCAGGUUCCGGCCCUCUCUAUGGAGGUAAUACCCUACUUCCUGCUCUAUUGAUCUUGAUGAAUAUGAGUGUUACAAGAGUUGAUCUACCACGAGAUCGUAAUGGCUAAACCCUAGAAGUCUAGCCUAUGUGUAUAUGGUAAUGAAUGUCCCCUAUCCGGACUAUGCUCUCCGGUUUAUAUAGACACCGGAGAGAUCUAGAGUUACAUGGAGUCGGUUACAUAAGAAGGAAUCUUCACAGCUGGUCGCCUAGCUUGCCUUCCACGCCAAGGAAAGUCCAAUCCGGACACGGGUGUAGUCUUCGGCCUUCGUAUCUUCACAGCCCAUCAGUCCGGCCCAAUGAAUAACAGGCCGGACGCCCGAGGACCCCUUAGUCCAGGACUCCCUCACUCGGAGACCUUCUUGUGGGGACCAUCUACGAGAGGAAGUAAAGAGGGAGAUCAGAAGAGGAUACAUGAGAGGUUAGGGUGGGGAGGAGGCUGCGCCGGCGAGCGGCCACGGCUCAAGGCGGUCCGGCCGACGAGGAGGACGAACAAGGGAGAGGAAGAUGCAGAUCGGCAAACUGUGGGUUGGGCUUAUGACGUUGGGUUCUCACAAAACUAUAGCCCAUUUCGAAUUUGGUGCCCGUGACGACACACACACAACGCUUAUGUUGGGCCUAAUCACUCACUUCCAGCCCCCAACUCUGAUUUCCCCCUCAAAGAAAAACAAAACUUCAACCCUUCUCACUCCCCAUGAUCACAACAACAACAACAGAAAUAUCUAUAUGCAAGAUCAGGAAAUAUCUAUAAGGGGCAUUCAGAACACAUGUGACCUAAUCGCUAUAACAGCUUGAUAUUAUGGUGGGAUAGACAUAAACUGGUUCACGAAGGAAAGUUUCAUGAUGCAAACCAAAAUUCAAGGGGAGCACGUGCUAUAAUGGCAAACUAUGUUAAUGCCUACUCCCCUAAAGCAACUAGUAAAACAGGGGGAUGGAGUAUCCCUUCUAGGGUUUUUGUGAAGCUGAAUAUUGAUGUAUCUUUUCAUCAUGGUCUGCUUCAGGGUACAUCGGGGGUUAUUCUUAGACAUUACAAAGGCAGGCUCAUUGUCGGUGGAAACUGGAGGAUAGAUUGUCGUGCGGAUGUAUUAGCAGCAGAAGUUGUGGUGCUAAAGUUUGGGUUAUUCCUUGCACAGAAGGCGGAUUGCAAUCGUCUUGUUGUUAACUCGUACAGUACAUAAGUGAUUGACACAAUAAAGAAUGGAUGACACUCGACCGGAGCGGCGGUUGUAGUUUUCUAUGAUUGUUAAUUUUUGGGCUUGUGAUUUUUCUUUUAUUAGAUUUGAACUUUGUAAUAGGGAAGUAAAUAAGAUGGCAAAUGAAAUUGCUAGGCCAGCGAAAUUUUUUGUCACUAGUGAUUGGUUUGAGGAGUGAAUGAGAUUGUGCCUUUUUUAUUGACAAUGUAACAGUUGUUUCUAAUAAAUAAAGUUGAAGUUUUAUUGAAAAGGACAACAACAAGAAAAAAUAUCCUCAUCUUGUCCCAAGGGAUCUGAAACCCCAGUAUCCUUGCAUCUUUCUUUUGCAUGGCAUGUACAUAAGAUUUUCUUUGUUAGUAGCAUGUGUUGUUGGCGGUGGCGGCAUGAUGUUAGAGGUGACAUGUGUGGACGGAUGAUUGUUUCGACUCCAUUUAUUCUUAGGGCCUGUACAAUGCUAGGUGUUCAGCGAAGUGCUUAGAAAAAUAAACUGAGUUUUUAAAGCAUUUUUUAAGCACCGAUGUCUAUUUCUAAUGAUGAGAGACACCUAAUUAGACGUUUACCCUAUACAAAUAAACGUCGAUGCUUUAAGAAAUACUGAUUUAUUUAUCUAACAACCUUUCUUACGCACCUUACAUGGUAAGGUUCGAGAGCUAGUGGCGUCUUGGUUUCUCUUGUUUCUGUCACAUCAAUAUCAUGCUUUGGAUAUAUUCCAGUGCCCUUUUAUUGAUCACUGCCUAUGGCCAUUGAAAUGAGAUCUGGGACUCGGCCAGCUGCAAGAUACCUCUAGAAAGCGAAUUUCCUCUGACGCACAUAUGAAAUAUGACAGUACAAAAUAGAACAAACACUAAGAUUAGACAGAUGAUUGGAUGAUGUAACUAACUUAGACAUCGCUGCACCCAGGACGGACUUUCUUCUCAGACAUCAGAGAGAAACUGAGUGUCCAUGCUGUCAGAGACGCUGGCCAUUGGGCGUUGUCAGUGACUUUAGUCUCGCCUCGGAUAUGGGAGGGGCUAGAACCACCUUAUAAGGAGGAGUGCCACACUCCCUUCAGGCUAGUCUUUUGCGAUGUGGUGGACUCUUUGCUUAUAGUGGUGUGUCUGAUGCACACCGGAAACGUCCGAACAUAUGCCGAAGGUUGGGAGCCGGGCCUGGGACGCUAACAAUUGGUAUCAUAGCUGGGCCCCAGUCUGCCCUGUUUUAGGGGGAUGAGGUGUCAGAGACGCUGGCCAUUGGGCGUUGCCAGUGACUUUAGUCCCACCUCGAAUAUGGGAGGGGGCUAGGACCACCUUAUAAGGAGGAGUGCCACACUUCCUUCAGGCUAGUCUUUUGGGAUGUGAUGGACUCUUUGCUUAUAGUGGUGUGUCCGAUGCGCACCGAAAAUGUUCGAACAUAUGCCAGAGGUUGGGAGCUGGGCCUGGAACGCUAACACAUGCCAACUGCUUCUCCUCCACUCCACCUGCAUAGCACGCAUAGGAGGAAAUUUGAUGAUUAUUUGAAGUGAUAUCCACAUAAAGCACAGAGUUACUCAGCUAGCAAAGCACCUAUGUACAUCACUGUAUGGCUACCCAACUGAAAAUUCUGCUUCCUGACCCUCCUGAUUCAUGCGGGUGGCAUGGAGAUGGGUACGCCUCUCGAAUCCAUGUGAAUCGAAUCGUUGGAACAGAUGGACGGACAGGGUCGAUACCUUGUGUAGAUGGGGAGGGGAGGCCGGAGUGGCUGCCGUCGACCGACGUACGGCCCGCAGCCGACGGAGGAGCUUCAAAAGUGACCUUUUUGUCGAGCGAUGGCGGUGGUGGUGGGGUGCCGGAUGCGGAGGGUGGUGGGAAGCCGGAUGCGGAGGGUGGAAGGAAGGCUGACGCCUCCGUCGCCGCGGACGUACGAGGAGCGGCCGCGAGCGGUGGGGUCCGGGAGAGGCUGCGCCGGCGAGCGGUCCGGCCGGCGAGGAGGACGGGGAAGGGGAGACGAAGACGACGCAGAUCGGCGGAGUGUGGGCUGGGCUUGUGACGUUGGGGCCUCCGAAAACUAUAUCCCAGUUCGAAUUUGGUGCCCUAACACACAACUCUUACGUUGGGCCUAAUCACUCCCUCCUGGCUCCAUCUAUCAUUCCCCAAAAAAAAUCCUUCACACAUAGAUGGAACUGAUGAUUCUCAAAAGAAAAAGAGAUGGAACUGAUUGUGUCAUGUCUUAAAAAAAAGAUCGAACUGAUUGUCUAAAAAAAACAUAGAUGGAACUGAUGAUUUAUCUCCGAAAAAAAGAUGGAACUGAUGAUGACGUGUCUAGAGUUAGGACCGGAUAUAUGUUAGUAGGAGUAGCUUGUAAGAAAUUACCAUCCUUUACAUAUAACGGGAAUUCGAUGAGUCAUGUCAUGCUCUAGAGGCGUCAGUUCAUCUUAUCAUCUUAGAGGAAACUACAAAGUUAUUUUUAUGAAAAGCAACCAACUCUAGAAGAACCCUCCACACGCAAGGCUUUAAUAAUCGAGCAUAUCUUAACAGCCCACACACGAUUGCAAACUUAGUCCUACACAAGCUUUGCCUUUCUUCUUUACGGCUGACAGCCUAUACAAGGUUUCAAACUCGGUUGCAAAAGUGAUACUAUCCUGAUAAGUGUGUGACAUGUAAAGUGAAUAAGGUGAGUCAUAUAUAGCAAACAUCGGGGUUUCUGUACUUUGUGUGUGAUCAUAUGCACAAUUAAAAAGCAACUUUGAUGAUCAAUCCAAAAGUACGCGUGUAGCUAGUGCAACCUAACGCAUUGUACCAAAAAUCAUUUCAGAUGCAUCCAAACGGAAUAAUUAAAGCUAAUGCAAAGAAGAAAAGAGGUGGUGCCCAGGCUACUAUAAAUAGGCAUGAAGUAUAAAGAUCAUCACAAGCACAAGCAUCAAAACCAAGCAACACUAGUUAACACUAAUCCACCAUGAAGACCUUCCUCAUCUUUGCCCUCCUCGCCGUUGCGGCAACAAGUGCCAUUGCACAAAUGGAGAAUAGCCACAUCCCUGGUUUGGAGAAACCAUCGCAGCAACAACCAUUACCACUGCAACAAACAUUAUCGCACCAACAACAACAACAACCUGUCCAACAACAACCACAACCAUUUCCACAACAGCAACCAUGUUCACAGCAACAACAACCACCAUUAUCGCAGCAACAACAACCACCAUUUUCACAACAACAACCACCAUUUUCGCAGCAACAACAACCAUCAUUUUCGCAGCAACAACAACCACCAUUUUCACAGCAACAACCACCAUUUUCGCAGCAACAACAACCAGUUCUACCGCAACAACCAUCAUUUUCGCAGCAACAACUACCACCAUUUUCACAGCAACAACCACCGUUUUCGCAACAACAACAACCAGUACUACCGCAACAACCACCAUUUUCGCAACAACAACAACCAAUUCUACCGCAACAACCACCAUUUUCGCAACAACAACAACAACCAGUUCUACCGCAACAACAAAUACUAUUUGUUCAUCCAUCUAUCUUGCAGCAGCUAAACCCAUGCAAGGUAUUCCUCCAGCAGCAAUGCAGCCCUGUGGCAAUGCCACAAAGUCUUGCUAGGUCGCAAAUGUUGCAGCAGAGCAGUUGCCAUGUGAUGCAACAACAAUGUUGCCAGCAGUUGCUGCAAAUCCCCCAGCAAUCCCGCUAUGAGGCAAUCCGUGCUAUCAUCUACUCCAUCAUCCUGCAAGAACAACAACAGGUUCAGGGUUCCAUCCAAACUCAGCAGCAGCAACCCCAAGAGUUGGGCCAAUGUGUUUCCCAACCCCAACAGCAGUCGCAGCAGCAACUCGGGCAACAACCUCAACAACAACAAUUGGCACAGGGUACCUUUUUGCAGCCACACCAGAUAGCUCAGCUUGAGGUGAUGACUUCCAUUGCGCUCCGUACCCUACCAACGAUGUGCCGUGUCAAUGUGCCGUUGUAUAGAACCACCACUAGUGUGCCAUUCGGCGUUGGCGCCGGAGUUGGUGCCUACUGAUAAGGAAAGGUCUCUAGUAAUAUAUAGUUGGAUCACCGUUGUUUAGUCGAUGGAUAUGUCGAUGCAGCGGUGACAAAUAAAGUGUCACACAACGUCGUGUGUGACCCGCCCAAACUAGUUGUUUAAAUUCUGAAAUAAAAUACAAAUAAAGUUGUAUCAAGACAAUGUUCAUAUUGGCAUUGUGUGGAUGUCCAUAUGAUUGCCAUGCUUGCAAGUUCAUAAGUUUGUCUUUCCUGGUCACAAGCGCAACCUGGUGCCUUAAUUAAUUAUGCAUGUAUUGGAAUAAUUACUAUUUAAAUAUAAUAGUGUUACUGUAAAAUUUGGGUUGAACUCUUUAUCGGUUGGAGAUUUGAGAUCUUGUUUUUUAUUGGUUUGUAUCUAGUUCCAACUACUACCAUUGUCUAUAGUGACAAUCACAACCAGUUUUAUCGUUAAUCAUGUUUGCUUUCU
rnacentral:lncRNA from 1 species